rnacentral:lncRNA from 1 species
UUUUUUUUUUUUUUUUUGUAAAAAUUCAGGUUUUUUAAAAAAAAUUAAAAAUUAAUAUUUUUGCCACGUGGCAGACAUUUGGCAAACACGUGGCAUAUAUGUGUCAGCCACGUCAGCAUUAUUUAACAGAUGGGCAUUAAUCCUAACAGACUUAGACCACAGGGGUUUAAAUCCUAACAGACUUAGACCACAGGGGUUUAAAUCCGAAUUUUUUUACCACAGGGACUAUCAUCCGAAUACCUUAUGACCACGGGGACCAUUUAUCCAAUUAGGCCUUUUAAUUUUUAAUUUUAAGGAAAAAGUUGAAAAUUUGUAGUAGUUUGUGAAGGGAGUUGGAAUUGGGUAUUGAUUGUUCUUAUUGUCAUGCUUAGGAAAUUUUGUGUCGUUUCCGUUGAUUGUGUAAAUGUUUGAUGUUUGAAUGCUGUGUGUGAUUUGGGAUCUCCAGGCUUUUCUUCAUUCUUCUAUUUAUGGAAGAUGUGGGUUUUCUCUUCUGUGUUUCUGUUUUCUCUUCCAUUCAAGCUCUUCCUAACCUUAUGGCAUGCGUUCUUCUGAGUAAUCUUGGAGAAUCCAUUACAAAAGUAGCACAGGAUGCUCUUGUUGCAGAGUAUGGCCAAGAGAAAAAUAUGACUGGCUUCUAGUCUUAAGCAUUCAUGGCAGCAGCUACUGGUGGAAUCCUUGGCAACUUAAUAGGUGGAUAUUUCUUGAUGAAAACGCUGCCCAGAACCAUGUUUCUUUUAUUUGCAAUUUUAAUCUCUGCUCAACUUGUUUGGAUCAAAACUUGAACUUUGGGCUCAAGAAAAGAGCUGGCCCAAAAGGAGGCCCGAAGGGAAAGACAACCGAAGCCCAGUCAAAGCCCAGAAAGCAGAAAAGGCCUUUUCUGACUUGGUGCAGCUCAUAAAGACCACUUGCUUACCUACCCAAAGGCCAAGUGGUAUAGACUGACCAGCUACACAGCCCAUAAAGUACUUUAUGAUGGCAGUACAUGUAAAAUAGCUGAUGAGUCAUCACCCUUCAAACCGCAUUCGGGCAAGGUUGCUGCUACAGGAGACCAAGCCGAGUUGUCUAUAUAAGAAGAAAGAGAAACCAGGAAUAAGGACACUCAAUCAAACAAACAAAUGCAAGCACAAACUCUGCUCAAAGCCAGAUUUGCCUUCAAAACGAAGCUGUAGUCAGCCCAAGCAUUCAUCCCUCUCGGGACAAGCCUUCAUCCCUCGCGGGAUAAACCUUCGCUCAAACCCUUGUAAUAGCUCUGCUACCUUGUUCAACCUUGCUGUAUUAUCGAUUCAUCUUUUGUAAAUCUCUCCCUCUCCCUGAAGCUUUCAUACCCUUGAUAAACCACAAAGAUAGGAACCUGCAAGACAACCAGACUUGUCCGACAAGGUUAAACCUUGCCCGACCUUCUUUGUUUUUGUCUUUUCAUUCAUUAGCCUAGCAAUAUGUUGUAUACUUCCAAUUAUAUUCAAGUUAUUUCUAGCAAGAUGACUAUUAAAAGGCUUUCUCAGUACUGGGAUCCGAUUUGAAUAUAUCUUCAGUGUUCAAACCAGAUCCAAGUUCUAAGCCCUCGGGCAUGUAAAUCUGAUUAGUUAAAAGUCCUUAGCCUUAAGGCAUAAAAAAGAACCUUAUGUGGACUUAACCCAUCCACGAUAAUCCUUGAUAAACGAGAAGUCCGAAGUUACUUGGGGCGCAAGUAAUCGACCUACCUCUUAGUCUUAUUUCAAUUACAUUAUGAUUAUCAUAGAACGCUUAAGCAUGGGAAGGAUUCUAAUAGGAAGCCUCAAGGCCUACACCUAAGGCCCCACAAAGGCACCUAUUUGGAUUCAUUCCGUUCUGCGGUCUAGAACGUUUAAGUGUAAGAACGAACUCUAAUAGGAAGCCUCAAGGCCUACACCUAAGGCCCUACAAAGGCACCUAUUUGGGUUCAUUCUACCUCUCGAACUCGGGUAAUCAGAAGUAUAAUAGUUAUAAGACUCAUGCAUGCACAAGAACAAAUAUGAUGUGUUUGAGCACAGGUUUAGUUAUUGAUAGGAAGCCUCAAGGCCUACACCUAAGGCCUCACAAAGGCACCUGUUAUAACUAACACGGUUUCUCGGGUAUAUACAUAUACAACCAAAACACGACAUCCAUUUCACAUCUGCCAUACUAAAGAUGGCAGUGGCACGCCUGAGCACUUAAAAGUUAACCUUGAUUGUGAGCCUCAAGGCCUACACCUAAGGCCCCACAAAGGCACCUCUCAAAGUUAACUUUGUCCUUCUCUUUCAGCCUUACCCGACGAGCCUUGCCCGAAGAGUCUUGCCCGACAAGACUUGCCCGACAAAGCCCUACAGUGAAGCAGAAACCCGACAGCAGCCCUCAACCGGCGCCAACCUCCCGGGGAGCUGUGUGCUCGUCGGCCAGGAAACAUCCCCGACGGAAAUUCCUGACGCGAACAUAGUUUUGGCACGCCCAGUGGGACCAUCAUUUGAUCAGAAGAUAUAUGUCAAAAUGCCAGAAGAUUUGCAAACCAUGUUACUACAAAUGUUGCAAAGAUUGGAGAAAGCUUCCACAGGCUCCAGAAAAGAAACAGACCUGGUUCCUCCCGAGGGAAAGAGACUUAAAACCAGCCCGCUAGAAGAGUUGGUGGUAAACAAACCUGUAGUUCCAUUUUCAGAAGCCCCUGUAAAUAUGAUUAAUAUGGCAUGGGUUGAGAAGGGAAAAGAAAAAAUCACAAGGGAACCAGAGGAAGAAAGAUUGGCUCAAAAACCUAUUUGAGGGGUGAUUAAAUCGCCCGAAUAUCCAAAAGCAGCCAUAAUCAAGGGGAUGGUUAUGUGUAGUAAGUGCCAAUGCGAGUGUGAGCUCGAAAUUCCCCCAGCUGGAAUCCUCAUUGAUCAUGAACUGAUCAGGAGGAAGGAAGAAGGUGAAAUGAGGAGAGCCCACGAAAAGAUCAAGCAGGCUACGAAAAAAGACACUUCCCGAAGCGUUUUUCAACGAUUAGGAGGUGAUUCCCAACCCAAAGCUUUGUCAGAAGUAUUUCGAAACCAUGAGGCUUCUGAAGAGGCAGAAGAUAUGGAGGCCAAAAUACGGAGGGGUACAUAUCAUCCUCAAUAUGGCCAGAUGGGAAGGGAAAUCAAGAGGAUGGAUGGGAUAACAAAUCCUGUCAGAAAAGAAAAACCUGCCCACCUCAGGCGAAAAUGGUACGUAGUCGGAAAGAACGAACAGCCUACCAAACAAAUGGGAGCCUCCAUGGUCAGAAGGGUUUAAAGGCAGCACAAAGCUUACAUGAAUUCCCUGAAGACCCCCGCAACAUCCGAAGCCUCCAAAAAUAAAAAAUUGGAGAAAACAUCAUCUGGGGGAAAUAGUCAGCUCUGCUGGAGAAGUAAGAGAGAGGUGGAAAAGGCCAAUAGCAAGACGGAAGGCGAGGAGAAUCACGUGCCGCAGAGCCAGCACCCUGGGAAGUAUCGGAUCUUGAGGAGAGCUCAAGAAGAUCUGGUUAUGGUACCAAACCCCGGGUGGAAGCCAGAGCCUAUUUGCGUUGGAGCUGUUUCAUCUAAAAGGAUACCACCUUCCCUGCCCUUGGUGGAUCCUUUUGGUGAAGUUCCAAAGCAAACGCUGUAUGCGGGCAUGAAUCAACAGAAGAGGGCACCAAAACCACUACUUCCAGCUGAUGCAAUGGCCUGGUUGGACGAAUUCAUGGACCAGAUUGGGGGCAAUAAAGAAGAUAUGCCCGAGCCUAGUAAUUUUCAUAUCAACAUGGCAUAUGUAUUAUCCGCCAUGUUUGGUGCCAGACCUGAUCAGCCCGCUACUAUGGAGAAUGAUUACUUGACAACUGAGCCAAUGAUGGCACAUGUCAAUGUGGAGGUAGUCGAAGGAGGAGAGUCGGGCAAGGCUGAAUCCACUGAAGCGUUCAAAGAUAGUCCUUUCAGGAUUUACACAGACGAAAUGGUGUUUAGCCGCCCGAACAGCUCGUUGGCCAAUCAUCUGAAGCCCAUAUAUGUUGCUGCUCAUUUGGAAUGUGUGCCCUUCAAAAGAAUUCUAAUUGAUUGGGGAGCAGCUGUUAAUGUGCUACCAGCCAAGCAAAUGAGGAAAAUAGGAAGAGGCACGGAGGAUCUUAUUCCCACAAACCUCACGGUCUCUAACUUCUCAGGCGCUAUCACCAAAACUCAUGGGAUAUUGCCUUUAGAAGUAGAUUUGGGAUCUAAACAGAUCAUGUUGGCAUUCUUUGUGGUGGACUGCACUUCCACUUAUGGGGCCUUACUCGGAAGAGAUUGGAUCCACCAAAGCCUGGCCAUACCCUCCACUCUUCAUCAACAAGUGGCUGUUUACCAUGAAGCGGGCACAGAAGGACCAGGCUUUUGGGAGAUGGUAGAGGCCGAAUCACGGCCAUUUCUCCCCACAGCCAAUGUUGCGGAAGCAAGUUUUUACAACCCCAACGUAGGAAUCUUGAAGUGUUCAGGAGCUGACGAGAACGGCCGCCCUACCAAGGUGACGGCCCAAAAGCUUUUGGAACAAGGAAUGCUCCUUACUAAAGAGGAGUGGGACAUACCUUGUAUCCUCCCAAAUCCCCUACACCAUCAAUGACUGAACAAAAGAAGAAAGAUCAGGUAACAGUAGUCAAAUCCCUGAUUAAAAGACUGUUGGUAUAUGGGAAGAGAAGAAACCAAGAAAGGGAGCUAUUGGACAAAGAAGAGCAGGAAUGGCAGGUGGGAACUUCAACCAGCCAGCAUGAAAGCAAGGAGGAAUCUUGCAAAGAAGAAUUGGAAAGGGCCAUUCAAAUGACCGAGUGCAUUUAUGACCUAGAUGGGCCAAAUGACUUGCCCGAGAGCCCGGAGUUAGUCGAAUUUUUGUGUGCAAAACCUGAUAAGCCACCACCAGAAGUCCAGGAUCCUCUGGAAAUUAUUGAUCUAGGAAUAGAGGAGGAUCCAAGACCAAUACAAAUUAGUGGUUUAUUGGGGGUUGAUGAUCGGGCGAAGAUUAUCUGCCUUUUGCAAGAGUUCAAAGAUUGCUUUGCUUGGCAUUAUACUGAGAUGCCAGGUUUAGAUUCAGCCUUGGUGGAACAUAGAAUGCCCAUCAAGGAGGGAUACAAACCUGUUAAGCAAGCACCACGAAGGAUGUCAAAGGAGAUAGAAGAAAAGGUCAAAGAAGAGAUUGAAAGGCUAGUAAAAGCUGGCUUUAUCAGACCAGCCAAAUAUGUAGAGUGGUUAGCCAACAUUGUACCCGUUUUAAAAGCUGUAACAAAAGCAGUACGAUGUUGUGUGGAUUACAGAAAUAUAAAUGGCGCUACACCAAAAGAUGAAUAUCCCAUUCCCAUGGCCGAUUUAUCCAUAGAUGCAGUAGCAAAACAUAAAGUCCUAUCUUUUAUGGAUGGGAAUGCCGGGUAUAAUCAAAUAAAGAUGGCUCCAGAAGAUAUACACAAAACAACUUUUAGGUGUCCCGGUCAUGUGGGGGCAUAUGAAUAUCUGGUCAUGCCAUUCGGGCUCAAGAACACUGGUGCAACUUACCAGAGGGCGAUGAAUGCCAUCUUUCACGAUCUGAUUGGCCAGAGCAUGGAGGUAUACAUUGAUGACAUAGUGGUGAAGUCCAAGACAGAAGAACAGCAUCUGGAAGAUCUUAGAAAAACAUUAGCAAGGAUGAGGAUCCACAAAUUGAAGAUGAAUCCAAAGAAGUGUGCGUUUGGAGUAAGAGCGGGCAACUUCUUGGGAUUCCUGGUGCAUCAAAGAGGUGUAGAAGUGGACAAGAACAAAUCUCGGGCAAUAAUUGAGUCACCUUCACCCACCAACAAGGUGCAACUCCAGAGUCUACUUGGCAAAAUUAACUUCUUGAGGAGAUUCAUUGCUAAUUUAGCAGGCAAGAUCCAGCCGCUGACUCCUUUACUAAGAUUGAAGGAUAAAGACAACUUCGAAUGGGGACCACCGCACCAACAGGCCUUUGACACCAUCAAGGCCUAUUUAACUUCUCCACCAGUGUUGGUGCCACCUCAAAGGGGAAAACCCUUGAAGCUGUAUAUUUCUGCCUCAGAAAAGUCAAUCGGGAGUUUGCUAGCCUAAAAUAAUGAAGGCGGGAAGGAGCAGGCAGUGUACUACCUCAGUAGAAUUCUGACCGAGGUAGAGACAAGAUAUUCCUCGGUAGAGAGAUUAUGCUUGGCUUUAUAUUUCACUGCCAGUAAAUUAAGGCAUUACAUGUUACCUUGUCACGUGCACAUCAUCGCCAAGACAGAUGUGAUAAAGUACAUGUUGUCAAAGCCAAUGCUCACAGGAAGGAUUGGGAAAUGGAUUCUAGCAUUAUCAGAAUUCAGUUUUCAGUACGUACCCCAAAGGGCAGUCAAAGGCCAAGCAAUUGCUGACUUCCUGGCCGAGCACCAAGAAUCUCAAAGUGAGGUAAUCAAUAUCCCAGGAAGCCUGGAGGUUACUAGCAUUUGGAUCCCGCCAAGAAAAGAUAUUUCGGGCAAAGAAGACUGGGUCCAACAAGAGAUAAGAAGAGUAGCUGGUCUCUGGAUUACUCCUUGGAAAUUGUAUUUCGAUGGAUCUCACACUCAGAAGGCUUCAGGAGCGGGGAUUGUAAUUGUAAACCCUCAGGGAGUUUAUCAUUAUUAUUCAUUUCUCCUAGACUACCAGGGAAAUACUAAUAAUCGGGCAGAGUAUGAGGCCUUAAUAAUUGGUGUGGAAAUCUUGAUGGAUCUGGGGGCAGUAGAGGUAGAGGUCUUUGGAGAUUCAGAGUUGGUAAUAAACCAGUUAAAUGGGGAGUUCAAGUGCAGACAUAUUACCAUGGCGGGGUAUUACUUGGCAGCUACGCAAUUAUUGAGUUUAUAGGAUUCUGAGAUAUCGGUCAAUCAUGUUCCCAGGGGAUCCAACUUAGCGGCCAACGAGAUGGCACAACUAGCCUCAGGAGUGCCAAUACAGGAGAGAAAAUAUGGGGUAGAUGUCGAGGUCCAAAUGAGAAACCUUCCUUCCAUCUUAGAAAGGGGAUUCAGUCUGAAUGUAAUGAGGCUAGAAGCCGAGAUAGAAGAUUGGAGGUCACCUAUCAUUCAUCAUUUGAAGGAUCCCUCUUCGCCUACAAGCAAUAAGGAUAGACAGCAAGCAACUAAGUAUGUCUUAUGGGCGAAGAACUUGCUAAGAAAAACUCCAGAUGGGUUACUGUUGAAAUGCUUGGGCCAAGAAGAAUCCAUGAGGGUAAUGGUCUAAGUACAUGAAGGAGUAUGUGGAGCACAUCAGGCUGGAACGAAGAUGAAAUGGUUGCUUAGGAGGUAUGGUUAUUUCUGGCCCGACAUGGAAAAAGAUUGUAAGUCUUAUGCCCAAGGUUGUGAAGAAUGUCAAAGGCACGGACCUCUCCGGCAUGUGCCCUCGGUACCUUUAAAUCCAGUGGUCAAGCCUUGGCCCUUCAGAGGAUGGGCGAUGGACUUCAUCGGGCAAAUCUAUCCAGCUUCUAGUAAAGGCCAUACCUUCAUAAUUGUAGCAACGGAUUAUUUCACUAAGUGGGUGGAAACAUCAGCAGUAAAAUCCAUAACUUCAGCCACAGUCAAGAAUUUUAUCGACACCAAGAUUCUGCACAGAUAUGGGGUGCCCGAAACUAUAGUAACGGAUUGUGGACCAUCUUUUAUUUCAAAAGAAGUUGAGGAGUUUGCAAGUAAGUACAAAAUAAAGAUGAUUCAAUCCAGUCCGUACUACCCUCAAUCAAAUGGCCAGGCAGAAGCCAGCAACAAGAUCCUGGUCAACAUUAUCAAGAGAAUGGUGAUUGAUAGUCCAGAAAAGUGGCAUGAAAAUCUGGGGAACACUUUGUGGGCAUACAGAACUUCUAAGAGGGCAGGAACAGGGACAACUCCUUAUGCUUUAACUUUCGGGCAAGAUGCAGUGCUCCCAGUGGAAAUCAAUGUAAGUUCUUUAAGAAUUCAAAAUCAAUUUGGGUUGCAUAGUGAAGAGUACAUCGAAGCCAUGUGUCAAGGAAUUGAAGACUUGGAUGUAGCCUGAAUUGAAGCUUUGAACCAAAUUCAAGAAGGAAAGCGAGCCGUUGCCCGAGCUUAUAACAAAAAGGUGAAAAUGAAGUCUUUCAAGGUAGGGGAUUUAGUAUGGAAGACAGUCCUCCCUCUAGGAGCUCAGCUCAGGGACUUUGGAAAAUGGAGCCCGACAUGGGAAGGUCCUUUCAUUAUUAGUCGCGUUUUGGAUAGAGGGGGAUACUACUUGGCGGACCUUGAGGGAAACAGGCAUAAACAUCCCAUUAAUGUUAAAUUCUUAAAGAAAUAUUGUCCUACGUUGUGGGAUGUCAGAGAUUGUUAUAUUGAAGAGGAUGCAAGGUAAAGCAAGCUUCGGGAUAUCAACGUGCAGUGUAUAUUUAUCAAUCAUUCAAGAAGAUGGAAAGACAAGAGUUGCUGAGAUAAUGUAUAUUUCAUUUCGACAAAUUGAUGAAAUUUACAAAAGAUUCAAAGCCGACGUAUUACAAUCAAUUCUCCUUCUGGAUGCAAUGGUAUCUUCAGCUGAUUUUCCGAUGUCCUCAUGGAUGGAACCCGAUCAGGUGAUCGGGUUGUGCGGCCAACAUGAGCCUGGUAGAGGAUCCUCAGACAGGACCAUCACCAUAAGUGAUAGUGAAGCCCGACUUAUCACCGCAACAAGCACGAAGACAAACCUUCGAGAGGAAACCGCCUGACCAGGGGUGUUGGAGAUAGCGGGGUGUUUGACUAAGGGUGUUGGAGAUAGCAGUCUUUUGAUGAAAGCCCUUUUUUUCUCACGAAAAGGGAGUUUUAGGAAACCCCACUCAAAGCCGGAGGAACCCAUUUCUCAAUUUCUGAACGCUCGAGGAAGAUGGAAGAGAAGACUGAAGAGGAUUUGAUGGCUUGACAGAAGAAAUUCCGAACCAGAAUUUAUAGAGCCCCCAGAGGAUAGUUCAAAGGUCGUGAGGAGAGCAAGGGGCACAGGGUUGCCUUCAUCCUGCCUAGAAAACACGAAGUUCCAAAAGAUUGAUAUACACGCAUGCGGAUAUUCAAUCAAUGAUGGCGCCUGGGAUUCCAACCUUAACAUUAAUUGAAGGGGGCACUGUUUGGAUCAAAACUUGAACUUUGGGCUCAAGAAAAGAGCUGGCCCAAAAGGAGGCCCGAAGGGAAAGACAACCGAAGCCCAGUCAAAGCCCAGAAAGCAGAAAAGGCCUUUUCUGACUUGGUGCAGCUCAUAAAGACCACUUGCUUACCUACCCAAAGGCCAAGUGGUAUAGACUGACCAGCUACACAGCCCAUAAAGUACUUUAUGAUGGCAGUACAUGUAAAAUAGCUGAUGAGUCAUCACCAUUCAAACCGCAUUCGGGCAAGGUUACUGCUAUAGGAGACCAAGCCGAGUUGUCUAUAUAAGAAGAAAGAGAAACCAGGAAUAAGGACACUCAAUCAAACAAACAAAUGCAAGCACAAACUCUGCUCAAAGCCAGAUUUGCCUUCAAAACGAAGCUGUAGUCAGCCCAAGCAUUCAUCCCUCUCGGGAUAAACCUUCACUCAAACCCUUGUAAUAGCUCUGCUACCUUGUUCAACCUUGCUGUAGUAUCGAUUCAUCUUUUGUAAAUCUCUCCCUCUCCCUGAAGCUUUCAUACCCUUGAUAAACCACAAAGAUAGGAACCUGCAAGACGACCAGACUUGUCCGACAAGGUUAAACCUUGCCCGACCUUCUUUGUUUUUGUCUUUUCAUUCAUUAGCCUAGCAAUAUGUUGUUUACUUCCAGUUAUAUUCAAGUUAUUUCUAGCAAGAUGACUAUUAAAAGGCUUUCUCAGUACUGGGAUCCGAUUUGAAUAUAUCUUCAGUGUUCAAACCAGAUCCAAGUCCUAAGCCCUCGGGCAUGUAAAUCUGAUUAGUUAAAAGUCCUUAGCCUCAAGGCAUAAAAAAGAACCUUAUGUGGACUUAACCCAUCCACGACAAUCCUUGAUAAACGAGAAGUCCGAAGUUACUUGGGGCGCAAGUAAUCGACCUACCUCUUAGUCUUAUUUCAAUUACAUUAUGAUUAUCAUAGAACGCUUAAGCAUGUGAAGGAUUCUAAUAGGAAGCCUCAAGGCCUACACCUAAGGCCCCACAAAGGCACCUAUUUGGAUUCAUUCCGUUCUGCGGUCUAGAACGUUUGAGUAUAAGAACGAACUCUAAUAUGAAGCCUCAAGGCCUACACCUAAGGCCCUACAAAGGCACCUAUUUGGGUUCAUUCUACUUCUCGAACUCGGGUAAUCAGAAGUAUAAUAGUUAUAAGACUCAUGCAUGCACAAGAACAAAUAUGAUGUGUUUGAGCACUGGUUUAGUUAUUGAUAGGAAGCCUCAAGGCCUACACCUAAGGCCCCACAAAGGCACCUGUUAUAACUAACACGGUUUCUCGGGUAUAUACAUAUACAACCAAAACUCGACAUCCAUUUCACAUCUGCCAUACUAAAGAUGGCAGUGGCACGCCUGAAUACUUAAAAGUUAACCUUGAUUGUGAGCCUCAAGGCCUACACCUAAGGCCCCACAAAGGCACCUCUCAAAGUUAACUCUGUCCUUCUCUUUCAGCCUUGCCCGACGAGCCUUGCCCGAAGAGUCUUGCCCGACGAGACUUGCCCGACAAAGCCUGACAGGGAAGCAGAAGCCCGACAGCAGCCCUCAACCGGCGCCAACCUCCCGGGGAACUGUGUGCUCGUCGGCCAGGAAACAUCCCCGACGAAAAUUCCUGACGCGAACACAACUUGCAAUUUCGUUGAGAAUACGAGAGGAAUCUCUUGAUUUACCACAAUUACCAGAUGACAGUCUUAUAAGAAAACCAAUCUUUGAAAGUAUCAAGAAACAAUUUUAUGAGCUGCAGAUGGGAAAUCAAAAGGAAAGUAUAGCUCGUCCUCUUAUUUGGAUUGUAGCGUCUAUUGCCAUGGUCCCAGUCCUGUCAGGUUCCAUCUUCUGCUAUCAAACACAAUGUUCAGUUGAUGUAUGCAUUUUCCCUUCUUCUUGACCUUGUAUUAGUGAGACAGAUCAAUGUUAGACUAGGGAUUCCAAUGAGAUGUUUGUCCUUUGUUUUUCGAGGUUGGCAAAGAGUAUUGUGCAGUUUAAGAUCUUGCCUUUCACAGUACUAUUUGCGAAUAUAAGUCCUCGAGGAUGUGAAGGAUCACUGCCUUUCACAGAAUGCUCAACGAGAAGGAGAAGGGAGAAUGCUCUUAUGUCAUUUUUAUUAUUUUUAUUAAUAUAUUUUCUGUCGAUUUUAUCCGACAGAAAUUCACUUAGUUAUAUUAUUAAUAUAUUCCCUGUCGGUUUUAUAUAUUUUCUGUCGGUUAUAUCCGACACAAUUUCUGUCGGUUUUAUAUUUUCUAUCAGUUUUAUAUUUACUGUCUGUUAUAUCCGACACAUUUUUUGUCGGUUUUAGAGUAUUUUAUGUCGAAAAAUUCAUUUCCUGACGCUGGCAAAUCUGUCGCUAUAAUAUCUGCCACUGCAUCAUUUCUGUCGGAUUUUGCUUAAUAUCCGACAAUAAUACAUAUUUCUUGUCAGUUAUCAUAGCGCCACUAAUAAAUGGUUUUGUAGCAGUGCAAUCUCAUAAAAACAUUCGGUUAAAAGCCUUUGAUAGUGGCAUGCUUGUUCUCACCAUUUCUCUCAAGGCUCUCCUUGGCAUUGAGACCAGGUUCGAUCAACUAGGAACGAACCUUACUCAAAGCUCAUCUUCGUUUUUUUUAAAAGAGAUUCAUAAUAUCUCAAUGAUCAUCGUCUCAAUCUUUUAACGAUUAGUGAUGGAUUUCAAGCUAUCUCCGGCGACUAGCGAUGGAUUUCAGUUAUCGAGGGACGAGUUUGAACUCGUCAGAUUUGAGGGUACCCAGAGUAUUGUUUCAUACUAAUUUCUCGAAAAUCCGUUGAAAAUCAUGAUGUUGUGGUAGUUAAACAAUGAAUAAUAUUUCAAAGAGUUUAAAAAACUGAAUUUAGAAAAAAAGGGUCAGAGACGAAGAAUAGAGAAAACACACUCACAGAGAUUGAGAGAGGAGAUAGAUGAUGACGUACGUAGCCACAGCUUCAAGGCCGAUGUGCUCUUCACAAACCCAAGUGCCCAUUUCACCUAUUGUGAAGGGCACUGCCCUCAAUAGCAAUGGUAUUAUCAAUUGCCGUCGGAGAAACAAUGGCGUUUGUUUGAUUAAGGCCAUGAAAAGCUCGUCUCCCCCACGACUAACCUUGUCGAGCAACUGGGAUUUUCCCUCAGCUACUACUUUAGCUCCAAGGUUGCCUAGAUUCGAAGAGCUCGAUACCACCAAUAUGUUUCUCCGUCAAAGAAUCAUCUUUCUGGGUUCUCAGGUUCUCUUUCUCUCAUAAUUUGGGUUUUCUUGCUUCAGCAUUGAAUAUUUUUGACAUGGGUUUUGCUGCUACUUGUGAAAUUUGGACUCGUUACUGUUUGUUGAAAGUUUAGUUCAAAAUUUGAUGGGAUUACUGUGUGUGUUUGUGUUUCUUAUUUACAAAAGGACUAAACUUGUGAAUAGGAAGGGUUGCUUUAUCUAAUUUUCUCUUCAUAUUUCUACCGGUGGGCAGGUCGUUGACAUGACGGUGGAUUUGAUCAUUAGCCAACUUUUAUUUCUAGAUGCUGAGGACCCUAAAAAGGACAUUAAACUGUUUAUGGCUAAAUAGCUAAAAUGGUCACUGAGAUUUGCAUACUUCUCGAUGAGAUGAAGGAUGUCUUGGUCUCAAGUUAGCCGCUUUCGAGCCGUUUUUUGGCCAAACCAUGGUGAUUUAGCCGUCUACAAAGGUACCAUUCUCUUCGUCUCAUCGAGAAAUAUGAUUUUCAUUUUUGAAUCACUUGAUUUCGUUGAGUAUUGAAGAAGUUAUGAAUGUUUAAAGUUUACCCAGUUUCCGGCUAGUUUUCCAGUUUUCCCUCGAACCAGUCAACUUUGAGGCUAUUUUCUGGCUAUCUCCGGCAGCCAUUGGGCUUCCAAAUAGGUAUAAUCUUAUUCUACACUUUCCUAUCUUCAUUUUGAUAUAUUAUGGGUCGAAUUUGGUUAAGAAACGAUUAAGUUAUGAAGCUUUGAAAAUUGCCCAAACUUCCGACCAAGAGCUCCGGGACACUUAACGGAAUUUUUAACGGAAUGACCAAAAUGAUGGAUGGUGGAUAAUAUCAGGGACCACUUUUAUUGAUUUGAAAUGUUAGGGACCAAAGUGAUGAGUUAUGCAAAUUUCAGGGACCAUUUUGGCUAUUUAGCCAUUGUUUAUCAAUUCACCCUGUGGUUCUGUUACUGCUGAUAUGAUUUAAAUAUACUUGGCAUGUUGGAUCUUGCAUCUCUCCUCAAUUAUUGCCUUCUGGUUCUUAUUUAUCCUUGAUAUUUGAGAUAACAAAACAUACAAAUGAAGACAUUUAGUAAGGCCCACAAACGGGUUGGGCAAAAAAAAUGUCCAUAAAAAAAAAAAAAAGUGUGCUUGCUCAUCGUGCUAGCUGGCUGGUUGGAAAUGGCUAGCCCGCUGACCUGAUUGGCUAGUUUUGACACGAUGAGGCCCACAAACCCUUUAGCCUAGCCUUCGGUUUGAAACGGUUUCGUGUCAUUUCAUGUUAUUUUCAACCCUAUGGUCCUCUGGCCGGAUCAGUUGAAGAUGGCCUAAUCUGACAACACCCACAAAACAGUCUGUUGGGAGCCUCCUGAUAGGAUUUUUACCGUCUAUGAAAAGAAGGUUAAAAUCACACAAAAUACUUGCAAGAAUACAAGGUUAUUGUAGUACAAAUGCUCAUGCAAGGUCGUUCUCCUCAAUAACUAUUUUAAUAAUUUAUGUAAAAACAAUUCCUAAUUAUCUACUUAGAAUUAAAAACUGAGAAAAGAGAUUUGACUUUUGAAAUUUUAAUUAACAACUAAUAAUAAAUUUCCCCCAAACGAAUACGAUAAAAUAAAAGAGUUUUAAAUACCAAUUUAUAAAAGCACUAGGGUUCCACCAUCACCUAGCAAUCAUAUGAAUUUUUACCAAUUACUUAUGAUCUACACAUGCCACUUUGAAGGUUAGGUAUAUCUAGCAUCGGACGUUCGGAUCAAAUAUGAACACGAGAGACUCAUUAUGUUUUAUGAAAACCCUUUGAAAAACCAUGCAACCCUUAAGACGUGAUGUUCAUUUUAAGUGAAAUUACAAUUAUUAAUCACAAGAAGCCAGCGUCAAUUUCAGGGAACCUUCAGACCAAAAUUGCAUCAAAUUACUUUUUUAAAGAUCAUAAUGGUGAUCAGACAUUAAAACAAUUAGAUAGUUUAAAACAGUGAUCAUUAAUUCAAAGCAUGUAUGCAAUCAAUCGUAAACAAUUAAAUAAAAAUACAUAGGCAUGGAACUCAAGUAACGACAUGAACGGAUCCAAAGUCUUGGGGAGCCAUGCAUUGCCGUGGAAAACCAAAUAACGACAUGAAGAAUGGCCCACGAAAAUAGACGCAAAGCAGCCCAUUUUGCUGCUCACACGAAUGACGCACGACACACGAACACCAGAAACCCUAGCUGCCUUAAUUCAACAUCGGAUGCCCUUUAUACAUUCGCUUUGAGGUCACAGCCAACGGCUAUUUUCUCUCAAUUUUUUAUUAUGUUUUGACACGCCGUUCUCUCGCUAGUAAUUGAGAGAGAUCUCUCAUUACUCUCAGCCUUCUCUCUCCUUGAAAAUUAGAAAUGGCUCUCCAUUAUUGCAAACCUUCUUCUCUCAACGCCCAUUAUUGCAAACCUUCAUCUCUCUAAACUCUUCAUCCACUCUGCAACCAAUGACCCAACAAACAUACACACCUCCGUUUCUCUAUAAUCCAGCCGUGGUGGAGUAAGCAUGAAAAGCUGAGAUGCAUGAAGCUAAAUCCCUCCUCCAUUUGUGUGUUUUUUUUUCUCAUUGCAGAUUUAUGUAUCGGAAUGAAAUGUAGCAAGAUUUAACACAUGCAUGUGUGUUUAUCUGUGUGAGGAACCCCAAUCGUUGCAAAUCCGAGAUAAACAACAAGAUAAACCCCCCUGAGUCGCCAACUCCGAGAGCACAGAGCUGUUCCAGCGCCCCCAAGCUUGCAAUCUCAGCGGAUCUACACCUCAGGUACAUAAAAAUAGAUCCCCCUUUCGUUUAAUCUUCGAAUGUAGAACACGAUCAGCACUAUUUUACAAUGCAUGCGUUGGAUCCUUUCCUUUCGUACGACACCCAUUUCGGAUUUAAACUAAAUUUGAAACUGAAAGUUGGUUUUGUAGGGAAAAAAAAUUAUUGGUGGCCUGCACAGAACGAAGGAAAGGUUGUCUUGGAUAUCACAGAUCCUGGCAGAAGCUUCCACGAACCCCAGAUCUGUGCAUCUGGGAGGUAAAAUUUCGAAUCCUAGGAAGUUUAGUUGUAGUUCUGGUAGUAAUAGCUGUACUCAGUAAUGUGGUGUAUGGAUAUGUGAUUUAAUUGUGCUUUUCUCAUCCAUGCAUCGCAAAACUGAGCUGCAGAAAAGAACUCAAAAUUAUGCCACGGUAUUGGAUUCGCAACAACCACCUCCAAACUUGUAUACCAUCCCGAUUAAUGUCUGGACAUUUGAAAAUUAAGAAAUGACGCCUAAACCAGUUGAGUCGCCUGCCUAAAUCAUCUAGGCACCCGUUUAGCCCACUCAGACCCACCUAGGUUACGACUCACUUAGAUAGAAAAUAAUAACUUUUAAUUUGCAUUUAAUUUUUUUCAACAAAUUGUAAGAAAUUUGUUGAAUACUUAAAUGAGCACACAUUAUAUGCUUGUUUCCGAUUUUUUCAUUAUGUUCCAAUACCUCAUAAUACAUAUGUCAUUUUAUUUUGUAAUUUAUGAUGAAAUUAUAUAUAUUAAGUAUGCAUAUACACUAAUUUACACGAAAUAUAAUGGAUUUACUCAAAUCCUUCUAGUCCACCUAGAUCAUGCCUAGCCACUUAGGCGCUAGGCCCCAACAUGCUACUCAACUAGCGUCUAGCGCCUUUUAAAACCUUGGUGUAGAUGUGAUUGAUAUUAAUGUAGACUUGUUGCUUGGUGCAUGAUCCAGUAUAGGAUAAUCCGCCCUUGUUUUUCCUGGUUGCAACCUGCAAUUAACCAAUAUGCGAUAAUAAAAAAUAAAAUCAAUUAGGUACAUAAAAACAAAAAGCAAUAGAUUUUAGGAUUUUUUUUUUCUUAUUUUUUGGGUACUAUUUUUUUUAUUUAUGCAGAUUUUUUUUUUUAAUUUUGUUUUUGUGAUGAUAUGAAAACUCAGCUAUGUGAGUGCAUCUAGAAAGUCAAACCAAUAAUAAAAUGGAAAAUCAAACGAAAAAUAAAAAAGUAAAGAGUUUAGAAAAAUUGGGUUGCCUCCAAAUAAGCGCUUUGCUUUAAAUCUGUAGUUAGACGUCGGAGAGGUCCGGUGGCUAGCUCAAUGGUUCCUUCAGAGUCAAAGACUCGCUUGCACCAAUUUUCCCUAUGAAUGGUUUAAGUUGAUGUUUGUUAACCUUAAAUGCGAAACCUUUGCCCUUAGCCUUGAUAUCCAUGUUACCAUUUUGAAAAACUUUAGUAACUAAGAAAGGGCAUUUCCACUAAGACUCUUAUUUCCCUGGAAAUGACUUAUAUGAACUUAACAAACACACUUUUUUACCAAGCUGUAUUUUCUCACGACUUGGACUGCUUUGUAACUUUUUAUUCUUGCCUUUGACAUUCAGAUGUUUUUGGUCAUUCUGGUGGCUUGGAUAGUUGUCAAACAAUGUCGAUUCUGUUUUUUAUUUUUGCACAUCAAGCACUUGGAUUUUGUGUUGCUGACCCUUAAUAGUUUUGUCAUCAUGACUUACAUUUAAAGACUUUAGGGAUAGAUGGUCAUUUGAUGAUCUGUUUUUACACUUGUCACAGGCUGAACCAUCUAACGCAUCAAUACGCAUGCAUUCAUGUUUGUCAUCUAGAUGUGCGGCGACUUAGGGUGGUUGUUUGUGUUGUUUUUCUUAGAUUUGCAAAGUUUGGGGGGUCCACAUACAGAUACAAACACAUGCAUGGGUUCGAACUUGCUACAUUUCACUUAAACAAAUAAACCUGAAACGAAAGUCAUAAGAUUUGAGGAUGUUUUACCUUUAGCACCUCCGAUUUUCAUCAAGCUCCACCAUGGAUGGGUUAUCAAGGCAUGAAGGUGUGUUUGUUUUUGGGUUAGUGAUUGCAGAAAAUGAUGAAGAGCUAAGAGAGAGAGUGGGGUUGCUGUGAAAUGAAUGGGUUAUAAGAAUGGGGGUUGGGUUUGAGUUAUAGAAAUAAGGGUUACUUGUCAUAUUCUAGAGAGCGAUUGAUUGAUGGUAUAUGGACAUAUGAUGCUAUAUUAGGAAUCCUAAGAGUCUAUGUGAAGGUUGUUUGAAAAUAAGAACGGAAGAGCCGUUUGGUUCUGGGUGCGAGGAGAUGAAGAGAGCCGUUGGCUUUGGGCUCGAGGCAAAUGGAUGCAAAGCAUCCAAUGUGAGAUUAAUGACAACUAGGGUUUCUAGCACCCGUGUGGCACGCGUGUGAGCUUCCAAUUGGGGUUUCGAACUCAUGAAGAUGAGUCCAAACAAUGUUGAGCCUCUCACGUGCUGAAUGAUGCAAGAUUUGGCUAAUUGCUGAUAGGUCGCACAUAAUAAAAUGUGUGAAAAUUAGAUAGUGGGCUGCGAGAAAAAAAUUGCAGCCCAAUUGGUAGCUCACACGCGUGCCACACCGGUGCUAGAAACCUUAUGUCACAUCUCGACCCGAGCUUCACCACAUCCCGGGCUCGACUCCACCGUAACACGAUAUUGUCCGCUUUGGGCCCCGACCAUGCCCUCAUGGUUUUGUUUCUGGGAACUCACACGAGAACUUCCCAGUAGGUCACCCAUCUUGGGAUUGCUCUCGCAUGAACUCGCUUAACUUUGGAGUUCCAAUAGAACCCGAAGCCAGCGAGUUCCCAAAAAGCCUCAUGCUAUAUGGAGGUGGGCAUGUACAUAUAAGGCACAUCACCCCUCUCUCCGUUGGUCAAUGUGAGAUAUUACUAUCCACCCCUUUUAGGGGCCCGACAUCCUCGUCGGCACACUCGCACCGAAUGGUAGAGUAAAUCUGAUACCAAAUUGUCACAUCCCGACUCGGGCUCCACCAUAUCCCGGGCUAGACUCUGUCGUAGCACGAUAUUGUCCGCUUUGGGUCUUGACCACGCCCUCACAAUUUUGUUUCUAGGAACUCACACGAGAACUUCCCAAUAGGUCACCCAUCCUAGGAUUGCUCUCAUGCAACUCACUUAACUUCAGAGUUUCGAUAGACUCUGAAAUCAGUGAUUUCCCAAAGGGCCUCGUGUUAUAUGGAGGUUGACAUGUAUAUAUAAGGCACAUCAUCCCCUCUCUGUUGGCCGAUGUGGGAUGUUACACCCUAGCUAGCUCGAGCCCAUAGCCAACGGUUUUUUUCAUUUCCUCGUAUCCAUUGUCAAAUGGCUCUUCUGUUUUUAUUUUCAAACGACCCUCAUAGAGACCCUUAGGAUUCCCAAUAUAACAUCACAUGUUCCUAUGCCUUCAAUCACUCGCUCUCUAAAAUAUGAAAAGUAGCCCUCAUUUCUCUAACUCAAACCCAACGCCCAUUCUUACAACCCAUUCAUUUCACAACAGCCCCACUCUCUAUCUCUUAGCUCUUCGUCCUUUUCUGUAGCCAUUAACCCAGAAACAUACACACCUCACCCAGAAACAUCCUCAAAUCCUGUGACUUUCGUUUCAAGUUUAAUUGUUCUAACCCAUGCAUGUGUUUGCACGGAACAAAAGAAAGGAUGUCUUCUAGGAGGCCACAGAUUUGGACAAACAGAAGGUAUAAAACCCUUGUGAUUUCAAGCAUGUAGACUGAUCUGCAAAGCAUAGCUAUAUUUAUCCUCGAUUCGCUCAUAACUCAGUUUUCCAUUUUUUUUUCUUCUUAUGUGCAAGACAUUCGGAUCCAUAAUAGUUCCAAGAGAAGUGAACGCCUUAAGCUGCCAAACCAGUAAUUCCUCAAAGGCAAAAUAAACUCCAAAGUCUCGGUUUCUGCAAUUAGGAAGGUAGAAAGAAAUCUGUCUUCUGCAUUUGUUUGGCUUAACACAUAGCUUUGAAUACAUUUCAUAUAUUCUGUGAUGUCAACCCUAAACUGAUUUUAUAAGAACUGGGACAUGUAAACAUUUGAAAACAACUUGGAUCUCCAAAUUGGUAAAGAUUUCGGACUAAACAUACUUGCUCUCAGAAAAACAAAAUGAAUUAAUCCUUGAAUCAUUUCUGAGAACAUAUAUGUGGACAAAGUGAACUGGAACCGUGAAGAUGACUAAUGAAGAACCUAUUCUAGACUUACAAAGUGACUUACUAUUCAACUCCAAUGCAUGAGUAAUAGAUCUGCUGAAAAAUAGUCUUGUCUACUGAAUAACUAAUGAAUUUGGUUGUUUUGUUUUUGUUGUGCAAGGAACCAGCAUCUGGAAGCUUGACAUGAGCAAACCAAAGGAAGAGGAGUUUGGUCAUCACAGAUCCCAAACUGCAUUUGCAACGAACAAAUCAUGGCAAAAGCUUCCAUAAACCCCAAAUCUGUGCAUCUGGGAGGAAAUUUUUUGAAUCCCUGCAAGUGUAAUUGUUGUAGAUCUGGUAAUAAAAGUUGUACUCAGUUGUGUGGUGUAUGGAUAUGUGAUUUAACUGUGCUCCUCAUCCAUGCAUCGCAAAACUGAGCAACAGAAAAUAACUGUUCAAAAUUGUGGCAUGGCACUGGAUCUACAAAAACCACCCCCAAACUUGCAUAUGUGAAUGUGCUCAUGUUAAUUACUUUAAAUUUUAGCAUAGGGUAGAUGUGGUUGAUGUUAAUGUAGAUUUGUUGCUGGGUGCAUGAUUCCAGUAUAGGAUGCUCUUUAUUUUCCAUUUAUGCAACCUGCAAUUAACCAAUAAUUGUGAAAAUUAAAAACAGAGCUAAAAUCGACUAAGUAGAUAAAGAAAACAACAUUUUUUUUCUUUAUUUUUGUGGUUUUAUGUAAAAUAAGAUAUGAGAAUGCAUCUAGUAAGUUAAGCUAAUAAUAAAAUGGAAAAUUAAACGCAAAAUAAAAUAAGGAAAUAGUUUAGAAAAAUUGGGUUGUAAGCAUUUUAUUUUAAGUUUGUAGCUAGAUAUUGUCGAAGGUUGGUGGCUAGAUCACUGGUUUCUUCAGAGUCAAAGACUCGUCUGUAGUAUUGAAGGAUGACUCCACAUAUGGUUUCAGCAUGUGACCAUUCAUCUUGAAUGUGUUGCCUUGAGCUUUAUUAGUUAUUUCAAUUGCCCCAUGAUAAUAGACUUUAGUAACCAGAUAAGGCACAAUCCAGCGAGAUUUUAACUUCUUUGGGAACAACUUUGGCCUUGAACUAAAUAACAAAACUUUUUGCCCUAGCUGAAAUUCCUUCCUUAAAAUUUGACUAUCAUGAAACGCCAUAGUUCAUUCCUUGUAGAUGCGAGAACUUUCAUAGGCAGACUAAUGAAUUUCCUCUAGCUCAUUAAGCUACAAUUUGCGUUUUUCCCAACUGAAUCAUACGAAAAAUUUAACUCUUUAAUUGCCCAGUAAGCCUUAUGUUCAAGCUCCAUAGGUAGAUGACAUGUUUCCCAUAAAUGAGUCAAAAUGGAGACAUCCCAAUAAGAGUCUUGUAAGCCCACAAAGCACCAUUUAAUUUUAAACUCCAAUCCUUACGUGUAAAACCAAUUGUUUUAUCCAAAAUGCGCUUUAAUUCUCUGUUUGAAACUUCAACUUGACCAGAUGUAUGUGGAUGAUAAGGUGUAGCCACGUGAUGAUUAAUCUCAUACUUUGCCAGUAAAUUAGCAAAUGGUUUAUUAACAAAAUGAUUCCCCCCAUCAUUUAGAAUAACGUGCAAAAUUCCAAAACACAGAAAUAUAACCCCCUGAAGGAACUUUAGGACCACUAAUUCUUGAUUAGUUAGUGUUGCAAUGGCCUCGACCCACUUAGAAACAUAUUCCACUUCAACUAAAAUAUAUUGGUUCCCAUUAGAAGAUGGAAACGGUCUCAUGAAAUCAAUACCUCAAACGUCAAAUAAUUCAACAAUUAAAAUACUUUGUUGGGGCAUCUCUUUCCUUUUGGAUUGGUUGCCAACCAUUUGACACUUGUCACAAGCCUUGCACUAAUUAUUUGCAUCUUUAAAAAGUGUAGGCCAAAAUAAACCACUCUACAAAAUUUUCUCCACUGUCAUUUUCUGCCCAAAAUGUAAAUGUCCCCACAUGCAAAAUGAUGAGCAAACUUUAAAACACUUGCCUAUUCAGCCUCAGGAAUGCACAUGCAAAUAAUCUGGUCGAGGCAGUACUUGUAUAAGUACAGUACAUCCCAUAAAUAAUGCUUUAUAUCAGAUAAAAACCUCUUUUUCUGCUAAAACGAAAAAUCUAGAUGCUCCUCACCCUUAGCCAAAUAAUUAACAAUAUCAGCAAACCAAUGUGUAUUAAUUUGGACAGCAAAUAGUUUUUCAUCUGCAAAACUUUCACUCAAUGGAAAGAUUCUUCUUCUGUAGCUGUCGGAAUAAUUAAUCUGGAUAAAUGGUCAGUCACCACAUUUUCACUACCCUUUUUGUCUUUAAUUUCUAAGUCAAAUUCUUGAAGUCAAAGAACCCAACGAAUCAACCUAGGCUUUGCAUCCUUCUUAAACAACAAAUAUUUAAGAGCAUCAUGAUCAUUAUAAACAAUUACCUUAGCCCCAACCAAAUAAGACCGAAACUUCUCUAACGUAAACACAACUACCAAUAAUUCAUUCUAUAUGGUUGCAUAGUUGAGCUAUGCAUCAUUAAGAGUACAACUUGCAUAAUAAAUGACAUGGGGAAGCUUGUCUUUACGUUGCCUUAAAACUGCCAUAAUGGCAUAAUCUGAAGCAUCACACAUUAAUUCAAAUGGUAAACCCCAAUCUGGUGCAACAAUGAUGGGUGCCUAAGUUAGGAGUGAUUUCAACUUGUUAAAUGCUUCUAAACAAGCCUCAUCGAAAUAAAACGAUGCAUCUUUAGCCAAUAAAUUGCACAGAGGUCGGCUAAUUUUAGAGAAAUCCUUAAUGAACCAGCGGUAAAAUCCUGCAUGUCCCAAGAAUGAUCUGACACCUUUUACUGAUGUAUGGGGUGGCAGAUUUGCAAUAACAUCAAUCUUGGUUUUAUCAACCUUAAUGCCUUUGUUAGAAAUCGAAUGACCUAAAAUAAUGCCCUGUCAUAAAAUGACAUUUUUCCUAAUUUAGCACUAAAUUUGUCUCUUGACAUCUCUCAAGAACUAAUGAUAAAUUAUGUAAGCACUGAUCAAUUUAAUCCCCAAACACAGAAAAAUCAUCCAUAAAAACUUCGACAAUAUUUUCGACCAAGCCAGAAAAAAUACUCAUUAUACAAUGUUGAAAAAUAGCUGGUGCAUUGCAUAACCCAAAUGGCGUCCUCCGAUAAGCAAACGUCUCGAAUGGGCAUGUAAAAGUUGUCUUCUCUUGGUCCUCUGGUGCAAUUGGAAUCAGAUUGUGCCCAGAAUAACCAUCUAAGAAACACUAGAAAGCCCUUACCAGCCAAUCUUUCUAAAAUUUGGUCAGUAAACGGUAAUGGGAAGUGAUCUUUUCUUGUAGCUGCAUUUGGUUUCCUGUAAUCUACACACAUACGCCAGCCUAUAGUUAAACGUGUAGGAACAAGCUCAUUAUUGUCAUUUUUAAUCACUGUAAUUCUGGAACGUUUAAGCAUAACAUGCGUAGAACUCACCCAUUAACUAUCUGAAAUAUGAUAAAUCAUACCAGCAUCCAGUAAUUUCAUAACUUAUGUUUUGAUAACUUUCAUAAUUUGAUUAAGGCGGUGUUGAGCAUCUAUUGUUGGCUUCACGUCUUCUUCCAUUAAAAUUCUGUGCAUGCAAAGUGCUGGGCUAAUACCCUUGAUGUCGGCUAUUGUCUAUCCCAAUGCAUCUUGAUAUUUUCUCAAAACACGAAACAAUUUAUCUUCUUCUGUCGAUGUAACACCUCACCCCCAUUUUAUUUAAAAAUGGUUUUUAAUUCUUAAUUGGUGUGCCCAAGGGCCCACCUUCUAUUUUUGUGUCCCCCAUUCCCGUCACUCUUCCUUCUCUCUCUGUCCCUCCCCCGUGAACUCCCUUCUUUCUUCUUCUUCUUUUCUGUUUUCUUUUCUUCCUUCUUCUUCUUCUUUUUCUGUCUGUCAUGUCUCUCUCCCUUCUCUCGGACCUCUCUCAGCUCCCUUAUCUCUCUUCUCAACCGCGAACGCACGCACGCAACCAUCUCCCCUGCGCGAGGAAGACCCCACAUCGUCGCCAUCUCGUCCUUCUCCCCCUCUGUCCCGUGCUGCAACCCCAGGAAACCCGGAAAGGAACUCCGGCGAGUUCCUAUUUUCCCGGUGAGGUAAGCCUCAAAUCUCCCUUAUUUCGUCCAAGAAUCUUGUGGGUUGAAUUUUAAUUGAGUUUAUUGUGUGAUUUUUGGAGGUUAUAGGACGAAAUCGAAGCCGGGUGUAGGCACACCCAUCUCCGACGACUUUCGAGAGAAUUUCCGGCCAAACCACGGCGAGUUGGCCGGCGUGCAAGGUAUCAAUCUCUUCGUCUCGUCGAGUACUAUAACUUUCCUUUUUGUUUCACUCAAUUUCAUUGCGUAUUGAAGACGUUAUACUCAUUUGAAAUCUUACCCAGUUUCCGGCGACCUCCGAGGCUUUCGAGGCAAUUUCCGGCCAAACCACGGCGAGUUAGACGUCGUGUGAGGUAUCAUUCUCUUCGUCUCUUCCAGGGAUACAACUUUCAUUUUUGUCUCGCUUGAUUUCGUUGAGUAGUGACAAAGUUAUGGCCGUUUAAAGUGGGAUGGUUUUCCGGCCUUCUCUCCCAUUGGAUCCGGCGACCCACCAAAACCCAAGGCUUUGGGCCUUCCCUGCCUAGCCCAGCCCGUUUUUAUUCUAUUUAAUUAUUUAUUUUCAGCAGCCCAAAGGGCCUUGGGCCGGUUUUGAGUGAAAGGGCUUAAAGCCCGGUCCUUGUGUGAGGCCUUAAGGCCUUUGUGGUUUGUGUGUGUGUGUGUUUAAGUGCAUGCGUACGUGUGUGUAUAUGCAUGCUUGCAUGCAUGUGCAUGCCGUGAAUGUGUGUGUUUGUGUGGUGCGUGUGUGUGUUUGGCUUAGGCCCAAACCACCCAUUUUCACCCUAAACCCUUUAUAACCCAAAUCCUUUAAAACCCUAAAUCCAUCCAAUUCCAAAUUCCCUAUUUUAUUUAAUUCAAACCCUUCGUAGGGUAAUUCGACGUUUUGAAUCCGUUUCCAAUGUCCAUUUUCCCAAAUUCAAUUGCUAUAAUAGAGUUUUAUUAAUUGGACUCUUUAUGUGAUUAGGGGCAAUUAUAUGUGGCAUUCCUUCUUUGAUAGUUUGCGUGGCUCUUCGGCGGCUAAGUACUGUGAGUGGACCCCUUCUAAAAUGCAUGUUUUAUAGUAGAAAUGCAUAUAUGAAAAGCAUGAUUUGAUGAUUACGUUUUAUGAAACGUUUUGUGAGAUAACAUGCUUACUAAGGCUACUUUGAAUUAUUACUAUUUUUCCUAUAACCCGUGUUCUUAUAGAAUAUCUGAUGGAUGACGAUAUAAUAUUUAGAACAUGUUUCAAACACCUCUUUAUAGUAUAGAUGAUGAAUGACUUUAUACUAUGAAGUUGUUUUUCAAUAUAUAUAUGUUCAAUGGUUUUGUACCUACCUAGUGGUCCUUUCCGCUACGGGACGUAGGGAUAGAUUCUGGUCCGUUCCGGGCGACGGUUUGGUGUUGGCAUAGGGCCUGGAGUAUGUUUCCUCUGGCUAUUUAGCACAGGGACGGGGAGCCGGCAUGGGGCCUGAAGUGUAUUUUCCUCUGACUGUCUGCUCAGAGACGGGGAGCCGGCAUGGGGCCUGGGGGUUAUCGGACAAUUCACUAGUGAUUAUUAUAUAUACAAGUUAUGAUUUGAGACACUGCACAUCAUGCUAGGUUUCGGAAAACCUAUGUUUAUCAUUAUAUAUGUGUUUUCAUAAAACCUGGGGGUUAGUACGUUGAUAACUGUUUAUUAUAUAUAUAUCAACUUGGUCCACUCAUAUUUGUUUUGCGCCCCCUUCAGGACUUAGAAUCGAGGCAUACAAUUCCGGCAUCCAGGCACUUCCGCAUCGGUAUCUUCGAGUCCUCUCGGUGUAGGACCCACUUCUGUGUUCAUUCAAUUUUUUUAUAUUAAUUCUUUUAAUGUUCUAGAUUAGAUGUGUGCUCUGAACACGUUCCUUAAAUACAUAUUCAUUAUUCUUUUAUAGUUAUAAGUCUUAAUUAUUCCUUAUUUUCAGCAAUUGCACUCAAUAAUUGGUUUUCGUCACCCUCGGGUGUCGGCCAGCACGUGCAUAUCCUGGUAUUCGGGGAAUAUCGGGAUCGGGGCGUGUCAGUUGAAGUUAAAUCUGCUGCAACAAUAACUGGCUAUGUUUCUAGAGUCCCUAAAUGUGCAUAUUUUAAAUGUUCUAGCAAAGGCUUCAGCUCCAAUUUUGGUAGCUACUGUCUAGACUGUUUAAGGGGUUGUUUAGGCUCCCAUAAGCUUGCAUAAACAGUUCUCCACCUGGGCAACUGUGUUGGCAGACUGUCCAAUACAUAAAUGUACUCAAGAACCCUUUAUCUUCAGAAUCUGACCCAAUUUUCCCUUGUAAAACAUGCAACAACUGAUCUGAAAUUGAAUUAGCCUGAAAAUUGCCUUGAACCACACUGUCUAACACAUCAAUGCACAUACACUAUUGUUGUUUAGCAUGACGUUUGGAUGCCUCAAAAAAAUUAAAUACAACAGAUUGAUCUUGAACUCCUAAAGUUAGUGUUCCAGCUUCCACAUCAAUUAUUGUCGUAGAUGUUGCCAUGAACGAUCUUCCCAAAAUUAUGGGCGUUUUUUAGGUCUUCAUCCAUGUCUAAAACCACAAAAUCUGCCGGUAAAUAAAGAUUAUCAACUUUAAUAUUGAUAUUUUCAAUAAUGCCCUUAGGAUAAGUCAUUGAACAGUCAACUAGCUAAAGAAUACUUGAUGUAGGCUUUAAAUCUCCUUGUCCUAAUUAUUGGAAAACAGAAAAUGACAUUAAAUUAAUAUUGGCACCUAAAUCAAUUAAAGCAUUUUUAAAAUCAGAAUUUCCAAUAGUACAUGAAAUGUUAAAACUCCCUGAAUAUUUUUUCUUAGGUGGCAGUUUAUGUAACAAAACUACGCUGCAUUGUUCUAUCAAAAUAACAUUGUCCAAAUCUGCAAGUUUCUUUUUGCUGUUGCAAACCUCUUUCAAAAAUUUAGCAUAAGAUGGAAUUUUCUUGAUUACAUCCAGCAAUGAAAUGUUGAUUUGAACCUUAGAUAAUGUCUGCAUAAAAUCCUUAAACUGUUGAUCUCUUGCCUUAUGAAUUAAACAUUCAAGAUACGGUAAUGGAGGGUCAUAAACAUGCUCAGAAACCUGUUUUGGGACAGUUUCAGCAUCUGCCAGAUUCUGUUUUAUUGUAUAAUUUGCAAGUUAUGCUGCUAUUUCUGUAUUUUCUGCAGAAAUUUUCACUGCAAGCUAAUCUUUUUUAGUAUAAUUUUCACGAUUGUCAUAACUUUUUCCACACCGUAAAGUCCGAACAACAUUGCAGUCUUCACGUCCUCUUGGAUUAGGCACUGUUUGACAAGGAAAUUUGCCUUUUUCUCUGUUUGAAAUAUGUGUAGCUAACUGUCCAAAUGAUUGCUCCAAACUUUUAAUUGAUGCUUCCACAUUUUGAAAUUUUUGAUUGCUGCCACCUAUAUAUGAUUGAGUUGUUGCUGCCAAUUUAGCAAGUUGAUCAUCCAAAGAUGGUUUGGAUGGUACAAAAGGUUUUUGUGUUUACUGCAAUGGUUUUGCAUGAUUCUGAUUGUCCCCCAAUUUGAAAUUAGGAUGAUCCCUCCAUCUUGGAUUGUAAUGAGUUGCAUAUGCAUCAUUUCUAGGCCUUUGAUAGCUGUUCAUCAUAUUAACAUGUUGCUCAACAAGCUCCGUGUAGGAUUCUUUAUGCGGGCAUCACAUUAUGUCGUGCGUAGCCAUGCUGCAAAUAAUGUAAACGGUGGUUGCUACUGUGUAGAAUUUGCAAUUUGUUGUAAAAGAAUGUCAAAUUUUGCAUUAAUUUUCUUUUCCAUUUUUUUCAUUUGUGUAGACAUGUUAGGAAAACCUGCUGAUAACUAAAAAAUGCCCCUUUUCUAUGAAUGUUUUGCUGCCCAAUGUUGACAUUAUGUAGCCAUCAUAUCAAAUCAUUCAAACGCCUCUCUUGCAUAUUUAUUUGACAACAAUCCUCCAGUUGAGGCAUUAACAUGGCUCUUAGAUAUAGGAUUAAGCACAUCAAAGAAAAUAUUCAUUUGUGUAUUUGAAUCAAUAUUAGCAUGUGGACAAUUCAUGUACAUCUCUUUAUAUCUCACCCAUGCUUCAUGAAACUCUUCGUUCAGCUUUUGAGAGAAUGUCAUAAUCUCCCGCUUGUAAUUCAAUUUCUUAGAUGCUGGAUAAUACUUGUUUAGUAAUUUUGUAUGUAAUUGUUGCCAAGUGGUAAUGCUACUAGUCGGUAGAGUAAAUAACCAAGUUUUCGUCUUAUCCUUCAAAGUAAAAGGAAAAAGACGUAACUUAAUAACCUUGGCAGAAAAACUCCUGAUCAAAAUAUUUUUGCAACCCACAAUAAAUUUUGCAAUAUGAAUGUUUGCGUCUUCAUUAGGCAACCCACAAAAUGUUGGUAAAAUUUCAAGCUUGUGGUGCUUGAUCUUGAAUGCUUCUCCUUCUUCCUGGGCAAGAUAGACAAUACAAUUAGGAACAUCGUUUACACGGGCAGCCAACGAAUAUUUGAGUGGUUUGCCUCCUUAAGGUAAUGCUAACGCCAUUGUAACCUCUCUGUCCACAAAAUCAGCAAAUAAAUUAUGCAAAAAAGUGUCGUGCAUUGAACAGUCCCAUGCCAAAUUAGUUUCUCUUUGUUGUUGUCGCAGUGUGUGUUCUGGUUCUGGAUAAAACUGAGCAAUCUGGGCAAAUUUUGAUCCGAUCUGGACCAUAAAGUUUGUAGAAUCUACAAUCAAACGAAAAUAGCAAAAUAAUCUGAAUUAAAAUAUUGUUUUUUAUUUUUUUUAUUUGUGCAAAAAAUAAUUAAUUAGGGAAGGUCUAAACAAAAAUUAUCUAAAAUAAUCCCCAGCUACGACAUCAAUUUCUUGAUGGGAUUUUUACCGUCUACGAAAAGAAGGUUAAAAUCACACAAAACACUUGCAAGAAUACAAGAUUAUUGUAGUACAGAUAUUCAUGCAAGGUCGUUCUCCUCAAUGACUAUUUUAAUAAUUUAUGUAAAAACAAUUCCUAAUUAACUACUUAUAAUUAAAAAUUGAGAAAAAAGAUUUUGACUUUGGGUAAUAUUAAAAACGAAUUUUAAUUAACUACUAAUAAUAAAUUUCCCCAAAACUAAUACGAUAAAAGAAAAGAGUUUUAAAUACCAAUUUAUAAAAGCACUAGGGUCCACCAUCACCUAACAAACCUAUGAAUUUUUAUCAAUUACUUAUGAUCUACACAUGCUACUUUGAAGGUUAGGUUUUCCUAAUAUAUAUUUUACUUUGAACCUCCAACAUAGAACGUAUAUCUAACAUGCAAUCCGUCCAGAUGUUCGGAUCAAAUAUGAAUACGAGAGACUCAUUAUGCUUUAUGAAAACCCUUUGAAAAAUCAUACAACCCUUAAGACGUGAUGUUCAUCUUAAGUGAUAUUACAAUUAUUAAUCACAAGAAGCCAACGUCAAUUUCAGGAAACCUUCCGACCAAAAUUGAAUUAAAUUACUUUUCUAAAGAUCUUAAUGCUGAUCAGGUAUUAAGAGAAUUAGAUAGUUUAAAACAGUGAUCAAUAAUUCAAAGUAUCCAUGCAAUCAAUCAUAAGCAAUUAAAUAAAAAUUACAUAUUCAUGCUAAGGCUCAAGGCUUCGCCCUAGCAAAAUAAAUUAGUUAUGCAUAUUCAUAAUUAAAAUCAUAGAAAAUAUUAUUAUGAAGAAAAAGAACGAAAACACCUUAAAGUAGAAAAGCUAAAAACCUUUGAAAACCCUAGCAAUUCUUCCAAAGUUGCAUAAAAGAAAACGUAAAACAAAAUAGGAUCGGUUGAAACCUUUUAAAUCCCAUCUAAAAAGCAUUGCACAAUCCUAAAAAACCAGGUCCUUUAUUCCAACUAGGAAACUAAAAAUAAUAGUAAAAUAUCUUAAAAAAUAAAGUUUUAAUUAAGUUAGGGGAAUCUGCUAAGUACUUGUCUAGCCACGUUUUAGCCUCAAAUAUCCUCCAAAUCCGGCCCAUGAUAGCUUGUUUUGAAGAUUAGGACGUUCUAAACAAUCUCUAGAAGGCCACAAACCCAUCCGAGGUCAUCUUGGACUCACAAAAACGCAAUUCAAGCUCAAAACGUCACUAUUUCAACACCGCGCAUUGCUCAUUUAUUUUAUUGCCAGAAAAUAACCUCUUGGUGGAAAAUUUUGAUAUUUUGACACGAUCGAGCCAAGUAACUCAUGAACGUCCUCCAACUGAAAUUACUUCAAAAUUCGUCCAUUUGACCAUGUUUUACUCUAUAGGAAGUCAAAAAUCUUAUAUUCAAAAUACAAUUUAAAGUAUCAAAAUUCUUUCAAAAUAAUAACUAAAAUAUACUAAGAUUAAGGUUAAAUAUAUAAUAUAAAAUCUACUCAUCACCUACAACAGUGGCACACUUGUUCUCACCACUUGAGCCUCUCCUUGGCACUGAGACCAGGCUCGAUCAACUAGGACCGAACCUUACUUGAUGGCUCAUCGCCAUUUUUUAAAAAGCAUCAUAAUAUCUCAGCGAUCGUCGUCUCAAUCUUCCGACGAUUAGCGAUGGAUUUCAGUUAUCGAGGGACGAGUUUGAACUCGUCAGAUUUGAGGAUACCAGUAUUUUUACAUACUAAUCUCUCGAAAAUCCGUUGUAAAUCAUGAUGUUGUGGUAGUUAAAAUGAAUAAUAUUUCGAAGUGUUAAAAAAACUGAAUUUACAAUGUCUUUUAACAUCACACAGAUAAAACUUUGAACAUAACGACACUUACAACUCCGGAGCGUACGAGAAAAGCCAAAAAUAACAAGAUGAAAAUUGAUCAUUUUAGCAAUCGGAAACUGUAAAUUGACCGAUAACAGGGGGGCGGGAUGAAGCAUCAUUUCGGGGACAAAAAAGUUCAAAGAGGGUUGUUUUCAUAUAUACCGGAGACGAACAUGUAUCGGAGCAUAAAAAAUAGUCUACAUAUAAGUCAAUUGAUAUCUUAAAGACGUUAAGAAUCCCAGCACAUGUCCAGUGUAGAGUUGGAGUGAAGGCAACGUUGGAACAAAGCUUAAGAACAUAAAAAGUAUUAGCAUUUAUAGACACACACAUUAUUUAGACACACAACUACGCCUUAGUCUUCGGUAUCAAGAUUCAAGACAUACAAGAUGUACUGAAAGCAAGCAAAGCAGCAUACACACUCGGGUUAGUACCGGAAGAUUUCAAUACCACAAACUAUUUACUUGUUUAGGAGUGGUCUGCCUCCAUAUGAUUCAGACUGAAGGCGCCUUCCAUAUUCUUAUGCACUUCAGCUUUAAACUUCUCUUCUUUGCUUCCCCUUUUCACCUUCAGAAGCAUGUUAAACUUUGCAUGCUCUUCUAUCACCUGCUGCCCACAGUUUAAUCAUAUACACAAAUCAAUACAUUAAUCCCGUCGAUCCCAACGAUGAUGUCAAACAGACCUCAAAACAGAGAAGAAUGAACAAAUCGACUUGUAUACCGCAUUAUACAAAACAAUUUGAAGUUGAAAGCAAAAUUGACAAGAAAACAAUGUGUUUAUUUUGUUUUAAUCUUCUGAAUUACCUAAAGGUUAAAUCCAAAUUUCCUAUUCCAAUUCUCUAAAAUACAUUUAAAUAGAAUUUCCUUACUCAAUUCUCCACAACCAAAUCCUGGUCCCAUUACACAACUACUCGCAUUUGAAAGAGAUUUUUUAAAGUGUGCCUGAAACACGAGCACAUAGGCCAAGCGGAGGGACACUUGAAAAAAAUAUCCAUCCACUUGUAUAAUAACAUCUGGCAUGCCGUCCCAUUUUCCGAGCACACUGAAAAACCUCUCCACAUUUAAAUGAACUUGAACACCCAUUCCAACAAAACCAAAUACUACCCCCCCCCCCCCCCCAAAUCCUCAAUUCUCCAAAAUGCAAAAAAAUCGACUUUCAUACUCUGAUUCAGCACAAACCAACCCCCUAAUACCCAAUUCUUCGAAAUCCCUUUCAGACACAACAAAUAACUAUACACAAUACCCAAUUCUCAAAUUCAUUUAGUUGGAUUUGAAUACCCAAUUCAACACAAACAAAUACUAACCCCCAAUACUACAGAGUGGAAAAUCAAAAGAAGGAAAUGAAAAGGCACAAACCUCAGCCUUGGCGUGAACAACUUCUAGAAGCUCAUAAGGCAACAAGGAAUUAGACUUCUGCUGGAGGGACUUAACAGCGUGGUUAGCCGCAUCCUGCACCUGCGGGUCAUGCGGCGGCACAGAUUGCCACCCAGGAGGAUGCCCACCUUGCUUGGCACCAAGAUCGGAAGAGGUAACGGAUGGUGUCUCCUCCUCAUCAGCCUGCUUGAACUCCUGCUCUUCUUUGAAGCCCAUCCAAGGCUUCACCCACACCUUCGCUUCGUACAGCUUCUUCUUGCCGGCCUCGAUCGCCUCGAUCGUCAGAUGGUGCAGAGUUCCGGCAACCACCUGCUCUUUCGCCUUCACAACCCUCACAAAUUCGAGCAGGGCAUUCUGAACCAUAAUAAUUUAAUUAAUCAAUCAAUAAAUUAAUCGAAAUUGUAGCAUAAUUAGGUAAAGGAAAAGGUCAGGAGGGUAAACUAUGUACCUCCUUGUUAUUGUGCUCUUGGACGGCGAAGCGAGCGAGGUCUUCAACUUCGGCGCUGUUCUGGACGCCGCGGGAUUCUUGGAUUCCGCCGACUGUGUCCAUUUUCCGGUGUUGGGAACUGUGGCCGCAGCCAAUUCGGGUUGAUUUUUGUGCGGUAGUGGAAGGGAAAGCGAGGAGGAGGAGGAGGAGGAAGAAGGGAGCAAUUAAUAGAGAGAGGUAAGAUUCCGAUUUCAUCUGGCCUUUUUGGGUUUGGGGAUUUUUUCGACGGUUUCUCUGCAAAUUCGGAUAUUUUUCUUUCGGUCAUCAGGUUUUUAUGAUACGUGUCAAACACGUGUCGAUUCUGCACCAUCUUUGCUUACUAUGUAAGCUUUCGAAAUGGGAUUGAGAUCCUCUUCUUGGCUAAGGAUGAUGAUUUUCCUGACCUAACUCAUAUGAUUGUUUAAAUUUUAUCAACGAUUACAAACAUAAAGUUUUUCUAAAAGUUAUAAUAACUGUAACAGUUGAAUAAAAUUUGAACGAUCCGAUGAGCUUGAUCAAGAGGACCAUCACCCUUACCUUAGUAGUGGAUCCUAAUCUCUCUCUAUAUACUUUUGUGAGAGGACGGAGGAUCCUCUUUUUUUUUUUCUUUUUUUUUUUGACAAAGGAGAACGAUAUUAAUCCAACCAAACACAACUACAACAUAACAACAAAGGCCCACGGAGGAUCCUCUUUUUUGUGAGGAUCCUAAAGAUCAAUUCAUAUUACAUAUUCAUUAUAUCAUGCGAUUAGCUUUCGUUAAGUACUGUUUCUGUUUAAUUUUAAAUAAAAAAAUUGAAAUAAUUUCUGAUUGUAAAAUAACUGAUGAACGAAUAUGUUAAACAUAUGAGAUAAGACGAACCCGGCCCUUAACAUGUUGCUAGAUGUUGUCUCCAGCAAGAAACAAGAAAAUGCAAGAACGGGCCCAGGCCCAUUUGGGCAUCAGCCCUUUCUGAAGGCCAAUUUGGCUGUUGUCCUCCUCUUUGUCGAAAAGCUAUUUCAAUUUGGGAAAUUAAAUUCAUUUAACUUUUCUUUACAUCUAACUUACUUUUUACACUUAUAUUAUUUUUAAUUAAACUAUCAAUAUCUUUUUAAACCCAAAGUUACUACCUAAACUACCCUCACAAACCCAAUUCAAUAUGUAAAUUUAUCUUUUACACCCAUAUGAAAAAUAAAAAACCAAAAAAUCAAAGGAAAACUAAUGAAGAGAAUUUGAAAACUUUGAGUUUUAACAAUAAGGACAAAAUAAAAGGUAAAGUGAAUAGUACAAAGAUUGAUUUUUUAGUAUAAAAAUGUGGUUUUUCAUUAAAGUGAACAGUACCGAGAGCUUUUCGUUAAAGUUAAAAAAAAUCAAAGCAAUCUCUUCUCUGACGUUCUCUCCUUCCAAUAGUUGCUUUUGAUGGAGUCUUCAUCAUCCUCUACAACAUUGUUCUCUCAACUUAGUUCGUAUUUGUCGAGACUUGAUAGUAUUGGUCAAUUUUCUCAUUAGAUUUGUUGAAGGGAGUCCUUGAAUUGCUGCUUAAUAAUUCGUUUCACUACAAGAGCCAGUUUCUAAUAUAAUUGCAGCACAAUGCAUGUGUCUUAUUUGACAUAUCCUGGGUAGAAUUUAAAGACUUAAGUUGUUAAAGAUGUUUUUGAAAUUUGGCUCACGUGCAUCAUAUGUGUUGCAACAAGUUUAUGUUCCCAUGUUUACAAUUUGAGCUUGCAUUAAACUAUAUUAAGAUUUUUAUUUGUUUCUUCCCUCAAAUCUAUCCACCUUUUUAAGGGGUUGAAUAUGAUGGGUUUGCAUGCACGUCACACCCCUCCGCUCUUCCUCUGUAUAGAAAAGGAAGAGAAAACUCCUUCCCUUUCCCAUCCACUCCAUGGGUUUCUAUUUAAGUCGCGUAUGGGUGAAGAGGUAGUUGGCUUAAGUAUAGAUUGUCGAUGGUUCAAAAUUACUAUCCAUCCAUACAAAAUGACUUAUUUUUCACUAUGAGAGUGUUUUAUGAUUUUUGUUAUAAUAGAAUGUAGAAGAAUGAUACGUGAUGUUGAUGAUUAUAUUUGAUUAUUGUAUUGAGUGUUUGUUUAUAAUCUUAUUUUUAUUAUUAAUUUCAUUUUGUAUUUUAUAAUAAUUAUGCAAUAAGAUAAUAAAGUAAUUUUACGUUUAUAAUUUAAGGUCAAUGUAGAGAGAUGUUACAUAGUUAAAAUAAAAUUUCUCUUUCAAUUUUCCUUCCGUCCCAAUUUUCCCAGAAAAAGAAAGAGAGAGAAAGGAAAAAGAGGGUCAGAGACUCAGAGACAAAGGAUAGAGAAAACACACUCACUGAGAGUGAGAGAGGAGAUAGAUGAUGACGUACGCAGCCACAGCUUCAAGGCCGCUGUGUUCUUCACAAACCCAAGUGCCCAUUUCGCCAAUUGUGAAGGGCACUGCCCUCAACAGCAAUGGUAUUAUCAAUUGCCAUAGGAGAAGCAAUGGCGUCUGUGUGAUUAAGGCCAUGAAAAGCUCGUCUCCCCCACGACUGACCUUGUCGAGCAAUUGGGAUUUUCCCUCAGCUACUACUUCAGCUCCAAGGCUGCCCAGAUUCGAAGAGCUCGAUACCACCAACAUGCUUCUCCGUCAAAGAAUCAUCUUUCUGGGUUCUCAGGUUCUCUUUCUCUCUUAAUUUGGGUUUUCUUGCUUCAGCAUCGAAUAUUGUCGACAUGGGUUUUGCUGCUACUUGUGAAAUUUGGACUCUUUACUGUUUGUUGAAAGUUAAGUAGUUCAAAAUUUGGUGGGAUUACUCUGUGUGUGUGUGUUUGUGUUUCUUAUUUACAAAAGGACUAAACUUGAAAGUUAGAAGUUAGUCAUUUGAAGGGAUUACUGUGUGUUUGUUUGUGUUUCCUAAUUACUAGAAGACUUAACGUAUGAUUAGGAACGGUUGCUUUAUUUAUUUUUCUCUUCAUUUUCUGCCGGUGGGCAGGUAGAUGACAUGACAGCGGAUUUGAUCAUAAGCCAACUUCUAUUUCUAGAUGCCGAGGACCCGAAAAAGGACAUUAAAUUGUUUAUCAAUUCGCCCGGUGGUUCUGUUACUGCUGGUAUGAUUUAAAUACAUUCGGCAUGUUGGAUCCUGGCAUCUCUCCUCAAUUAUAGCUUUCUGGUUCUUAUAUAUCCUUGAUAUUUGAGAUAACAAAACAUACAAAUGAACGACAUAUUUUUAUUACAUAAUUAGGUAAAUCGAUUUUCAAUUAUAAUAUAACUUGAAGCAUUGGCAAAUUAAAUAGUAAAUGAGGAGAACGGCAUCAUGAAGCGAUGCUUUGGUAUCAAGUACAAAGGAUUGCAUGCAUAUACUGCAUUAUAUUUGCAACAUAUUGGAUGAGGAAAUGUUAAAAGGAGAGUACUGGGAGGGUAUACAGCCACUAAUGUAAAGCAAGUAAUAUAUUUGCAGGGUAUACAGCCCAAUUUGCAAAAUCAAUGACCAUGCACACACACCCUGGAACUUCCUCAAUUGAAAUAGCUAAGAAAACUUAUGAAAUGUGCAAUAGCUCAGAUUUAUACAUAAUUGGAAAUAGACAAAUUUAAUAAAAACAACAAAGACAAGUAGGUCUACCCUACUUUUAAUUAUCAAGUUGUCAUUGUUGCAUUCCAAGAGAAAUCAAAGGUACAAUUAUUGUUUUAACUAGUUUCUCAUAUACAGAGUAGAGGAAACAAAAAAUUAAAUAAAAACGAAUGGAUGAUCCAAUCACAGAGUCAAAAUUUAUCUUCAAAAGGCACACAGAUAUAUACAUCGGCUUAUACUCUUAAGGCACCAUAUAUGGCAGAAAACUUAGGAGAAACAAUUGAAACACUUUUCUAGUAGGGAAAAAAAUAAUAAUAUACUUUUGCUAGUAGAAUAGGAAAAAGAAAUCUAAACAAUUUCUUGUAGAAAACUCUAAAAUCAAAGGAACAUAAUGCAAUCACUUAACGUCUUCAUUCUGAAAGUUUAGUGAUUCGAUAGGUCUUAACAAAAAUCAAUAAUCAUUCAGAUAGCAAUCGCUACUUCUUAACUCUCUUUCAUUUUUUUCUCUUCAAAUUUUUACGAGUAGAAAAGCUUUGAGCAGAUAAAAGAGAUAAGAUACAACACAUGGUGACAGCCAAACCAUCGCACAUAGUAAAGCUCAAUCCAAGAUAAUAAUUGAAUUGAUCAACAACUACAAUUACGUAAAAUAUACAUCAAAGCUUAUUGUUCCCACUCUUUGGGUACAUUCAAACAAAUAUAUUACUUGCUUUACAUUAGUGGCUGUAUACCCUCCCAGUACUCUCCUUUUAACAUUUCCUCAUCCAAUAUGUUGCAAAUAUAAUGCAGUAUAUGCAUGCAAUCCUUUGUACUUGAUACCAAAGCAUCGCUUCAUGAUGCCGUUCUCCUCAUUUACUAUUUAAUUUGCCAAUGCUUCAAGUUAUAUUAUAAUUGAAAAUCGAUUUACCUAAUUAUGUAAUAAAAAUACUUCGAUUUUUGAGAAAGCAAUCAUGGUGGGAGAUAUUUGUUGUAAUAUAUUUCUUUCCCCCCGAUAAUACCUCUGCAAACAAGCUAUACUAGAGCAAGAAUAUCUCAUAUCAUCAGGGUUAAAAGCAAGAGUAUCCCAUAUCAUGCUUUUUCCCUGUCUUUUCCUUUGGCCUUGUUUUUACCUGCAAGACAAGGAGAAAGAGAGCAAUCAGUCAGCACUUGAAAUCAAGCUCCCAGCCAGGAACUGACAGCCUGGAACCCCUUACCUGAUUACUUACCUGGCAUUGCUCUCGAGUACUCAUCUUCAACAUCUUAUGUUGCCAGGGAAGAUACCGCAUCUGCUUGAGGAACAGAUAGGGCAAGUGCGAAGGAUACAAGGAAGCAUGUGGAGACAAGCGUAACAGCACCACGUGCCGAUCCAUCCAUUACUCUGUCAAAAGCAAAAGUAUCCCAUAUCAGCAGGGUCGAACGUACUCUAGAUUUGAUGGACUUGUUUUGACCCUCAAAUUCUUCAGUCGGCCUUAUACUUUGGAGGAAACCAGAAAACCCUCCAGCUCAGUUCAAGAAUAAGCCUGUGGAAAGUUACUUCUUCAAAAGCAAAAAAUAUCCCAUAUCAUCUCUUCUCAUUUUUUCUUCUCUUUAUCCCUUCAUGCUGCUGCAAGAUGGGGAGAAGGUGAACAAUCAGCCGGAGCUCUAAUUGCUUACCUUGUCUGUUACCUCUCUUCAGCAAAAUCCCCUAGCUCGGCGACUUGGGGGACUCCUACUACAUGGUUUGUAUCGCGCUUGACCAAGCCUGAAACUACAAGUAAGCUUCAAGUGAAAUUGAUACAUUACCUUGUGCAUCUUCACCAGUUAAAGAUACCACCCCUGGAUGGAGGAAGAGUACUUCCAGAGAGAAGCUGCCACAUCUACCUAUGAGACAGAUAAGGCAAGUCAAGAUGAUACCACACUCCGAUACUUAGAAGUUUCGUGAUUACGAGAUCAUUCUCCCACAAUAUUUCCUAAUGUCAUUUGUACUCUAAUGUCAUUUGUACUAAAUCAUUCACUUGUACUCACUAAAGGAGAGCUUGAACCUAUGUACUUGUGUAAACCCUUCACAAUUAAUGAGAACUCUUCUAUUCCGUGGACGUAGCCAAUCUGGGUGAACCACGUACAUCUUGUGUUUGCUUCCUUCCUAUCUCUAUCCAUUUAUAUACUUAUCCACACUAAUGACCGGAGCAAUUUAGCGAAGAUCACAAAAAGCGACCGUUUUCGCUACCUAGGAUCUAUCUUACAAGAGAACGGAGAAUUACAUGGAGAUCUCAACCAUAGAAUACGAGUUGGAUGGAUGAAGUGUAAGAGUGCAUCCAGCAUGUGUGUGUGACCGUCGUAGGCCACUGAAGCUCAAGGGAAAAUUUUAUAAGACGGCAAUAAGGCCAACGAUGUUGUAUGGCACAGAAUGUUGGGCGGUGAAACAUCAACACGUACACAAAAUGGGUGUAGCAGAGAUGAGGAUGCUUCGUGGGAUGUGUGGGCACAAGAAAGGAUAAGAUUGAGAAUGAGGAUAUCCGAGGUAAAGUAGGAGUAGCCGAAAAUUGAAGGAAAGAUGAGAGAAAAAUCGGUUCCGGUGAUUUGGACAUGUGCAAAGAAGGCCGACUGACGCUCCGGUUCGAAGAUGUGACUACGGGACAGAGGUUCAGGGCCGAAGGGGUAGAGGAAGACCUAGGAAAACUUUGGAAGAGACUCUAAGAAAAGGCUUAGAGUACUUGGAUCUAACGGAGGACAUGACACAAAACCGAGCGCAAUGGCGUUCUAGGAUUCAUAUAGCCGACCCCACUUAGUGGGAAAAUGCUUUGUUAUUGUUGUUGGGCAAUCUAUGAGAACUUCUAUAACUUUUUCAACACUUUGAGUCUGUAUUAUGUAUAAACUAUGAGAACUUUUAUAACUUUUUCAAUACUCAUUUUGAAUAACUUAAAGGUGUCAUGCAGUUGUGGAGCCAGAAAUUAUGUUAAGGAGGGUCAAUUUUAAGUGACUAUAGAAUUAUGAUAAAUUGAUCUUAUAAAUAAAAAUUACUUGAGAAAUGAUCAUAAUUAUCAACUUAUUUAGCAAAAAAAAUAUUCCAAGUUUCCAACCAAUGCGAAAAGCAAUCAUGCCUAUGCACCUUCGUGUGAAUUCGAACAAAAGUAAUUGGAUAGAGUAAGAUGACAUGAAAUUAAAUACCUUUUAUUUGAUUAAGAGGCAAAAAAUGAAAUUAUGAAAUUAAGUGUUGGACCCUCAACUAUGAGCAAAUUACAUCUGUGAGAAGGUUAACUAUAAAUAUAAAAGCCAAACUACAUCAAUUAGCACAUAUAAAUACAACAUGUCCAAAUUGUGAGAAGGGUCAUAUGACCCUCCUAGGCUUUAACUGGCUCCGCCAGUGAUGUGAUGGAUAAUCUUUAGUUUCUACAAAAACACUUAAACAGCACUGAUCAUGGACGGUGGAUAGUUUGUGCAGUGGAAUUGAUAUAUUGGUAUUAUGGUUUAGAACUUUUUAAAUCCAAUUCUUCCCAGUGUAAACCACCACUCGACAGGCUUUCGAAAUCUAUAGUUGUCUGAAGUACAUAGUAGAAAAGAUUUAUGUAGGUGAGCAAGGUGUCGUGAGCAUUCGGUUUGGUUGGGAAUAAGCUAAAUUUUGUUUAUCAAGUUAUAAAAAGAUGAUAGUAAAACAAGAGCUUGACAUGCUAAGGAAAUACGAAGAAAACCAAAGAUGAUUAGCGUGGGGAUAGAGUGAGUCUCUUCCUCCAAAGGCAUCUUCUAUACUCUUAUAAAAAACCAAUGCGAAGAAGAUUAGUGUAAUGGACAAAGACAAUUAGCUAGGGGAACUAGACUGGCAACAAUGAAUUAAAAAGGAAACAACAACACAAGAAACCAACAAGUACUAGUAUGGGGAGAGACACUCUAAGUUGAGUAGUAUGGGGGACAAAGAAGAUAUGUCUGGUUUGAUGUUUGAGUCCUUUUGGUAACACUGAACAAAAUUGGAGUGAUAUAUGUUUGCCAUUGGGUUUUGUUUUGAGUCCACAUGGUUCUUUUAUGUUAAAGUCCAACUCUUUAUCAAUUGUUAUGCAUUUUGAAAUUUGAAUGACAUAGAGGGCGGGAUAUUUUUGCAGAAAGGGAAAGAGUAGGGCAGAGUGCUAACUGGGUAAUGUCAAUGAAAAGAUUGAAUGAGGUUUGUUGAAAACAAAUAUAAGUAAUUGAAAUUUUAUUCUAUCUAUUUCUGCUUUUGGGAAGCAAAAUAGCUGUUCUCCCGCUUAGCCAUGCCCUCCUUUGUUAUUGUUAUACAACUUCAGUUGGAUUGAUUAUAUUUUCUUUUUAAAGUUCUCUUCCUUUUUCUUUUGUAUUCUUACCAACCUGCCCCUCCAUGUAGGAAUGGGAAUAUAUGAUGCAAUGAAAUUGUGCAAGGCAGAUGUUACAACUGUUUGCCUGGGGCUUGCUGCUUCUAUGGGGGCCUUUCUUCUUGCUGCUGGCACAAAGGGAAAGAGAUUCUGCAUGCCCAAUGCAAGAGUGAUGAUCCAUCAACCCCUUGGAACUGCCGGGGGAAAAGUAAGUGCUUGUUUUCUGCUUAUUGUUGUGGAUGUCCAUAUAAAAUUUCUUAAGGUGUUUUUAGUAUUGUUUGUUUACCAUAGUGUUUUCAUUGUUUUUGUAAAUAUGCUUGUUCACUGAUACCAAUAUCUUUAUCCUUGGUUCUAUUGCAUGUAUUUAUAUUGAUGCUGUCGUGUCUUUCUAUUAGUAAGUUAUAGAUUACCAUUUAUUGUGUAUCAUGUAUUUACAAACUUAGUUCCCCCCAAGCCUGUCUGUCUAUGGUUUAAGGCAUGGCAUAUUGGCGCUGUCCUCUGUUUCUGUUACUAAGUUAUAGACGACCAUUAUUGUUUAAGAUUGUAUUUACAAACUUAGCUCACCCGGCCUGAUAGUCUCUGAUUCUUUCACAACAUUAUUGCGACAAUUUGACUUUUGGAAGAAUCUAAGUUCGCUUUUGAUUAUAAAUUUGACUUAUAUUUUUCAGUUUAUAUAGUAAUAGAGGAUUACCCAUUGCACGGGGAACACCAUUUUUGAGUUACAUAAUUUCGAUGAACUGUAAAGGAUAAAUCAAAUUAAAUUAAAAUCUCUCAAGGAGGAGUCAAACAACAAACUCCCUUCCAACUAGAUCCCAGAGAAAGAUCACUCCAAGAUUCUGGCAACUAGCUAUUCUCCACUUUCUAGAAUUUCCACAAUCCAUGCCUUCUAUAUGGUUGGCAUUUCUCAUGCUGUUGUGGCUUUGAUAUAGUUUUUAGUAAUGUAUCAUUUGACUAGUAAAGUUCUCGUGCUUGAGAAUAAGCUAUCAGUUGUUCCUCAACAAGCUCUCUCAGGUUCUGCAGUUCAGAAGGUCAAGUCCUUAAUACAUGACCUUUUGUUAGAUUGUUGUGAGCCUCUGGAAUUGUGAGUGGUGAGCCCUCACUUUGCAAUCACAGUGAUCCAGAACUUUGACUUGGGCAGCCCUGUGGUACUGUGAUGAAUAGUUUAUGAUGCUAAUUUAUUGUCCUAAUAAAGGCUGAUCACUACCGUCAUUAAUAUCAUUUAUAAGUAAAAUAAGUUGGUUGACUUUCCUCUGCCAUAGAAAAGUCUGCAGUGAAGUCAUUUAAGGCGAUCAACUUCAUAGGAAGGUGGAAUGAUGCAGAUAUAUUCUUAAGAUUGUGCACCUCACCAGUUCUAUUCAGCCUUGUCACAACAGAAAGGUUGCUCUUUUGUGACUGAAAGGUCAUGGGUUCGAGUCGUGGAAAUAGCCUCUUUGGAAGGCAAGGGUAAGGCUGCGUACUAUUAACGUUCCUCUCACCCCCUGCUCCUCUUUAGCAAAGCAGGGAGCCUUGUUGGCUUGGGGUUGGGGGUGUCCUUUAUAUUUAUAGCAAUGGCUAAACAUUUUGUACACAACUUUAACAUACUGACGCAUGCAUUUUUAUGCGAUGGAGGAUUUCAAUCAUCUCCUUUUAUCCAUUUCUACCUGGCUAGAACACAUACAUGUUGGUUGAAUAUGAUAGAUAGUUCUUUUCGUUUACAAGGCUAAUGCAUUUGUUGGUGAUUCAUGAUUUUAUCCUGCAACUUUUACAUGUGAAUUCAGGCAACAGAAAUGGGUAUUCGGAUUAGAGAAAUGGUGUACCACAAGAUUAAAUUGAACAAAAUAUUCUCAAGAAUCACGGGGAAGCCUUUGGAGCAGGUCAGGCUUCAAAUUAGAUUUCUUCCAUAGUAAAUAUUCUGUGAGGGUCUCUUUUCCGUUUUUGAAUUCUUUGUUGGUGCAGAUUGAAGAGGACACGGACCGUGAUAAUUUCAUGAAUCCUUGGGAAGCUAGGGAUUAUGGGUUGAUUGAUGUCGUUAUCGAUGAUGGAAAGCCAGGCUUAGUUGCACCCGUUGGAGAUUUCACACCUCCACCCAGAACACGAGUCUGGGAUCAGUGGAAAGUUGAAGGGAGCAAGAAAUCGAGAAAGAGCUUGCCCGCAGAACAAAGGAUUUCUGACACUGAAAGAGGGGCCGAUAGGUUAAAGGAAGCACCCACUGCUAUAUGAGGCAUUGCGGUAGACUGAUCUUCUGCUUUUUUACCUUUGGUUUAUUUUGAUUAUGUUGUACUCCUCACCUCAUAAUCUUGUAAAUCAUUUGUCCAAAUAGUGAAAGUAGAUUAUUCAAGAUCUGCUCGGAGAUUAUUCCCCGUCCGUAAGCACACAUUUAAAUGUUCAACAGAGUUUGCUUCUCCGCUCUUUAUCUUUUCGAUAGUGUAUACUCCUCGUUUGUGGUUGAAUUUACAGAACAAAUUACAGUUUGACAAGCGGAUGAGUUUUUCUUUAGCUCUCUUUUGGUUGAAUUCUUUUUAAGUGACUUUAGUGUAUGAGUAGUCAGCUUAUGAUUUGUUGUUAAGUAGUUGUGAGGAGCCGAGCAAUAAGGAGCCAAAAGUUCGGCCUCCGGAACUUUACCAACAAGAAGAUUGAUAGCAAGACCUUUCAUGCAACACCAAGACCAAGUUGCACUUGUGCUGCCAUAUGUGAUAACUCAAACGAACCUACAACAUGAAAAUGCCCGUUCUUCGAUCCAACUUACAUGGUUGAUUACUUUGGAAUUUGGGCUUUGAGCUAAAACCUACAAAAUAUAAUGUGAGUAGUGUGUGGUAACUAACUGGUACAAUAAGAAAUUACAUACUUUACAUUGGUAACUUGACAAAUCCUUGUUUCGAUACGAAAACCAAAUAACAGCGUUAGGAUAAACAAGAUUCUAACGCUCCUAAUUUAACGUUUGGUACUCCUUUUUUAAGUGCCGAUAUAUAGUGAAACAUUCGGUUGCAGGUUACUAAUAAGAGAGUGCUAGAAUUGCUACCCUAAAAAAAUUCUCUCAUUAAGUCUUACUUUACAUGAAUUGUUAUUGACAUCUCAUAAAGGUUGAUCACUUGUUUCAAAAUUGAAAAUUCACAAUAGAAAAUUUGUGUACGAAAAGAGCAAAAUGACUUUUUCAAAGUGCAAACAACAAUAGACGGAAAGUAACAAAGUUCAAAUUUGCUUGAGUUGUUAAGAGCCUGUUUGGUACUCUACUUGAAUCCAACUUUUUAAAUUCAGAAACAAUUUUCAAGUUUUAGGCCUUAAAAACUUGUUUGGUAUGACUAUUUUCAAAAACUGAACUCAAGACUAACUCAAAAAUAUAGUCUAUUAUCUAAAAACACAAAAAGUGAGUUUUUACAGUUUUUAAACUUAAACUCACUCAUUUCUUUCCUUUCCCUCCUCCCCUCUUACUCCAAAUCUAUCUUUUUUUUUCUUUCUCUCUCCCCCUUCUCUUUUUUUUUUUACUUUUUUCGUCUCUCCUCCAAUCUGUUCUCUUUAUUCUCUCAGUUCUUUCUCUCACUUCUCUUCCUCUCUAUCUCCUCCGAUCUUCUUACUUCUUUCUCUUUCAUCAAAUCAUCUCUUACUUUCUUUCCUCCUCUCUCUCCUCUUUCUCUCUCGACCCCCUUUUUAUGGAUUUUUUUGUCUAGUUUAAGUUGUAAGAUUUAAAAAUUUUAAAUCGCAUACCAAAAAAGUUUUUGAGUCUUAAAGAAAAUUAUUUUCAAAAAAAAUUUUUAAAAUUUUUUUUCAAAUAGGAUACCAAACAAGCCCUAAAAUUCUCCCCCAUCAAUCACAUUGUCUUCAUUGGGCCUUUUUCUUUCAUGGUCCAGGCCCGGAUCCAUUUAAAUAAUAAAAAGUUAAAAAAAAAAGAAAAAAAAGCUGGAUAUCAAAAUAAAGGCACUGUUCUUGGCGCCAAAACAUCCGAUAAAUCCGCAGUUCCGUUUUCGAAAAAAACAUUUCCCUCUCUCGCAUUCAUACCUCACAAUUAAUCACAUUCCAAUUUCGUCAAACAAACCCAGAAAACGGUGUCGUAAUCGUAACGCCACCACAUUUCUCUCUCUCUCUCUCUCUCUCUCUCUCUCUCUCUCUCUAGGGUGUGCUCGUCCCCUUUCUCCUCCAAUUCUCAAGUGCUGCUACUACUCGAAUCUUGAAAACGACGCCGCUUCAAUCCUAACGUGUCGUCACUCGCCAUGACCACGAAGCCCUCGUCCGUCUCUCCCUCCCGCACCACCUGCGCUUCUCUCCUCCGCGAAUUGCAGGUUCCAUUUCUCUUUCUCUCUCGCUCGCUGGUCUUCUUUUCGUUUCGUUUUCCAGGUGAAUUUCGCUAUUUUCGGCGGCGGAAGAUGAAAGGGUUUAAUUGGGAUUUUUCGGAUUUUGAAUUUUUUCAGAUAAUUUGGGAUGAAAUUGGGGAGAGUGACGAUCAGAGGGACAAGAUGCUUCUACAGCUUGAGCAAGAGUGUCUCGAUAUUUACCGGAAGAAGGUUGAAAUGACCAGGAAGCACAGUGCCGAAUUGCACCAGUACUUAGCGGACAGCCAAGCCCAGAUCAAGGCCCUUGCUUUGGCCCUUGGAGAAGUUGACUCCUUUUCUUGCGGAAGAGGAACUCUCAAAGAUCAAUUGUCUGCCCUCAAACCUGUUCUGGACGAAUUGACCUUGAAGAAGGAGAAAAGGGUCAAGGAGUUUUCAGCAGUUCUGUCCCAGAUUGCAAGGAUUUCGGCUGAAAUAGCUGGGACUGGCGUGUCUGGGAAUGUGGAUGAUCCAGGACUUGACGAGCGCGAUUUGAGUGUGAAGAGGUUGCGGGAGCUUCAGUCGCAUCUUGAGGAGCUUCAAAGAGAGAAGGUACUAGUUGGGGUUCUGUUUUUGGCUCACCGAUAGUCUUCAAUUUAAUUCGGGUUCUGAAUUUCUCUUGUGUUUGCAAUUGGGUUUUUCUGGAUCCUUUGUGCAGGUUUUGCGUCUAGAGAGAGUAAGUGCUAAUGUAAACAUCAUCCAUGAACUCUCGGUUGUAAUGUCAAUUGAUUUCUGUAAGACAAUCAACAAAGUUCACCCAAGCUUGACGGAUCAGUCCUCUGCUCAGUCCAGGAGCAUCAGUAAUGAUACUCUUGCCAGAUUGACGACUUUGACUGAUUCAUUAAAGCAAGAGAAACAACAAAGACUGCAAAAGGUAACUCAUUAUUGAUCUCUUUUUUCUGUCACUAACUAUUUGAUACAUAAGGUGACCUGCAUGAAUUGGCAAUGUAUUAUUACUUAUUUGAAUUAGUCUGUAAAACUCCGCACUUUAAUUUCCCAGUACUUACACGGAAGUUAACUCUGUUACACUUCCAUUUUUUUCGACAUUCUUCUUACUCAAUUGGUAUAUGUUUUGUUGUAGCUGCAAUAUCUUGGGAGCAAACUGAUAGAACUGUGGAAUCUGAUUGAGACACCAAUUGAUGAACAGAAGAGAUUUGACCAUGUUACGAGCAUAAUUUCUUCCUCAGUUGAUGAGGUGUCUAGGCAAGGAUGCCUUUCCCUAGAUGUCAUUGAACAGGUGCUAAUUAUCAUCUCCAGUUUAUCUUAGAAUUUCGUUGUGCUGUAAUUUUAAUGACUAACUGGAAAUUCACUGUUUCUAGACUGAGGUUGAAGUUGAGAGGUUGAAUGUUUUGAAAGCCAGCAAGAUGAAGGAGUUGGUAUUCAAGAGGCAAAGUGAGCUGGAAGAAAUUUACAGAGGGGUCCACAUGGAUGUAGAUAGUGAUUCAGCUAGAGAGAUCCUCAGCAGUCUCAUAGAUUCUGGUCUUAACAACCUUCUAUAAUCUUGGUCCCUUGUUUAUAGCUCUAAAAUAAACUUUUCAAUUAUGAUGGUGAAAUAUGAUUGCAUAUGGAUUUACAGGUAGUGUUGGUUUGUCUGAACUGCUUUCAAGCAUGGAUGAUCAGAUUCUAAAGGCCAAAGAGCAAGCCCUAAGCAGGAAGGAUAUUUUGGACAAGGUAGAGAAGUGCAAGUUUGCAUCUGAGGAGGAAAAGUGGCUUGAUGAGUAUGAAAAGGUAAAAGUAUAAAGUAACAGUUUACAUUUUGUUCAGAACUAUUAUUUUCAACGGUCUAUAUAACAUGUUGGUCAAGUGACUAAACGAGUAAAGACUAAGAGUGAUCAUAUUUGGUAUUUUGGGUUAAUCAUAUGCAUAGACCACAUAGAGUGGGAUGGAAGAGAAAUUACCUGUAGAUUUGUGGUGGCUUGAGGGUUGAAGUGGAGAUCUGGUUUUAGAGAAUCAUCUGGUCAACAAUACCGAUAAGGUUGGAAAACUAUAGAAUAGAAUUUCUUGAGCUAUAAUUUUUUAGUACAUCUAUUGUGUAUCUAAGAAACAUGUUGGUGGAAUAGGUUUAGACAAGUUGUGAACGGAUGAGAAGCGAUUCCAUUUAUUUAGAAGUUAAGAAAAAAAUAACAAAGUUUCAACCAAGCUAACAUGGUAUUGUGGCUAAUGAUAUGAUUCGUGUUAAACAAGCAAUUGUUAAGGGAAGCCUGAAAAUGAGUAGGGUAGUGGUAGUAGUAAUGAUGAAGGGCAUUCCACAUUGAAGAGGUAACAAAACAUGGUCUUAGAAAGGUUCAAUACAUCGACAAUUUUGCUUGGGGCUAAGUCCCUGAUCAUGUUUGACUUCCUUUAUAGCAUAUUGGAGCUUAUUCAGGAAGAAAUAAGAAAUUUUCUUUAUGUUGAAUUUUCUAUUCUUUUUUCUUUCAGGAUGAAAAUCGCUACAGUGCAGGAAGAGGAGCACACAAAAAUUUAAAGCGUGCUGAGAAAGCCCGGAUUCUGGCUGGAAAAAUACCAUGUGAGCACUUAAUCGUGUUUUAGAGCAGUUUGGAUCUCGUAUAAUAAUACUUGUUAGACAAAUGUGUUUUCACUUUUAUCGGUGUACUUUGUUCUCUAUGCCCUGAAGAUGCUUAUCUGACCUUAUUUUUUUUACAUAACUUUAUUGGCCUACUUAGGGUCUUGGAUCAUAUAUAAGAAGUAAUGAAUACUUUGACUUCCUAAUGACUCACUCCAGAAUUUUGGUAUUACUGUUUAUUUGUAGCAUAACCGCAUUUGAAUUUGUUUGAAAGUAUUUUUUGUAUAAUUUCUUUGGCAUUUUUUAUAUCCUUCUGUAUUUUUAUUUCUAUACUUAAGGUGCAUUGUUUAUUUAUCUGUUCAGUUGACUUGAUAAUCAUCAUACCUCAUAGUUUGUGCAUAGAAUUCAUGGUGAGUAUACUUGUUCGUUUAAAAAAAAAAAAAAAAACUCACUUUAUGACCUGCGGAGAAGCAAAAUUAAGGAAAAGAAUUCAUGCUUGCUUGUAUUCACAAAUUAUCAUUCACUGUGAGGUGAAAAAUGUGUAGCUGUUUUUCACUCCAGCGAUCUUGUUCUUCUCGACUGAAAACCUUGGUUCAUAUCUCUUGAAAUUUCUACACUUUGAAGAAACAAAUCAUACUUCUCAGACCUGGUUUUGUGGGGAAGCAACCAACUAGACACUCUUUAUUCUGUUCUCCUAAAUUUCCAGAAAGAAGAGAAAUUUUGUGCUACUUGCAACUCCAAGUUCGAGAGCGGGAUCUAUUUGGGUUUGAGUGACGUUAAUUGUUGCUAAAACUGGAUCUGAAAGUCACUUUUGUUUGUUUGAGGCUUCGAGCAUAAAAUAUUUAAAGACGCACUUUUGUUUGGUUAUGGAACUACAAUUUCAUGAAACUGAAAUUAUAUUGAAAUGAAGUUCAAUGUGCCUGCAGUGCCUGGUUCUCUUUCUGUGUUUAUUACAUGUAGUCUUGUUUGUGAUUAUUGGAAGUUUAUUUAUUGACAACAAAUACUUCUUUUACUAGCUAUCAUCGAAAAUUUGACUGCCAAAGUUAAAGCCUGGGAGAUUGAGAAAGGAAUCCCCUUCUUAUAUGACAAGGUAAUCAAAUAUGGUUUAUUAGAUGUUUUUGUUUUUAGAAGUUCUAUGUUAUCUUAAUCUGCUGUGCUUAGUCCAACAACUAGAUGAAUUUCAGGUUCCUCUGUUACAUACGUUGGAGGAGUACACUGCACAACGACAGGAGAGAGAGGAGGAGAAGCGUAAAUCUCGGGUAUGCCUGGACUUGCUACUUUUACUCCACCAUUAGCUAAUAUGCAGAUGAAACACCUUGCCAUCCAGACUUUCAUUAUUUCUGCAAUGCAAAUAAUGUCCACUGCCCAUCUUCUGAUCCUAUAGUUUAAUCUGUUGCAUAAAAUGCUAAAUGUACCGUAAUUGCUACUGGGAAAGUAGAUAUAAUCUCAUUUUUCUGUGUCAAUUUGGCGACUUUAGUCUCUUCAUAUCUGUGUUUCUGUCAUGACUCCUGGAUAUGAUCGAUCAUCUUGAUAACAAUUCAUCUAUUGCCAACUGUGUACCUAAUUGCUAUGCAUGCUAUUGCUAUUUAUCACCAUUCAUUCCGCAAAUGCAUUGUUUCUGCUGCUCUAAUGGAUUGUGCGAAACAUGUCAAUCGAAAUUAGGAGAAAAAGCUAAUAACGAUUUGGCCUAUGGUUAAUUUUUACAGGAGCAAAAACGGCUUCAAGAACAACAUAAUGCAGAACAGGAGGCAAUCUUUGGUUCAAGGCCUUCUACAAAGAAGCCAUUGGGACAGAACACAAGUGCUAACACCAUGGUUGGCACACCAAUCAAUCGCCGCACACCUUUAGGCCGUCAUGGAGUCUCAGCUGGAAAGGAACGCAAGGAAAGCGGAAGGGCACAUAACGUAACGCCCAUUAACUACGUUGCUCUUCCCAAGGAUGAUUCAGUAUCUCGGAGAAACUGAAGAGCACAUAUCUUGCUUUUUAAUAGCUUGUAAAUGAUUUUUUCUUUUCUUCCAUUCGCUACAUGUCGACAAUGUUAUCGAAAGGAUCUUGAAUAAUAGUGUCAUUGUUCUUACUAGGUUUUGUGGCUUGAUUUACAUCCCCAAUAGAUCGGACGAGAUUGACUACAAUACUUACAUGUAUUAAAUACAAUCACCAUCUAACGGUCAAAUAUAAUUUAUAUGAAUAUGUGUUUAAUAUAAUCACCAUCUGAUUGUCGAGAUGCUAAUUGUAUCAAAUACAUGAUUGUAGCCAAAUCUCACAUGUGACAUACCAAAGGAAAUUAACAAAAUAUGGAGAUGGUAAUUUGAGAUUAAAUGCUAACAUAAUGUGGAGGCAAAGUUUAAACAUCAAACCAAAUGCACAACCUAAUUAUUUGAGCGAUAUUCUAAUCUAUUCUAAACUAUGAUUAGAAAGUGUUCGGACUUAAAUACAAGAAGGGUAGCACGUACAUUUCUCUACCUAGCUUGAUUGAGCCCAUGUUUGCAAUGUAUAAGAACAACCUAUAAUUAUUGUUCAAAUAUGUACACAAGUAUUUAGUGAAGUAUAAAAUCAAUAAAGAGAAGUAAUGAAUAUUACAUCAUAAAGUGACUUUGUUGUGUGCAAGAGACAUGGGUUUAGGGGUCACUCGAACAUGCAUUUUAGGACAUCGUGUGUAUAAACACUCUUAAGUAAUUGUGCUACAAGUCUCUUGCAUCGUGACUUCAAUAUUUUUUUGUUUUUUGCAACUAUGAAUGACCAUUCGUGCGGGUUUGACAGCAUAUGUGGUGCGAGGUUUUACUAUCGUGGAGGUAGAGACAGAUGCAAAGGCAGUGGCAUAUGUGGGGAGACUACGGAGAUGUUGGUAGAAGGAAUUGUUCAUGACAUUCGUGUGCUGGGUUUCUGUUUGUAGUCCAUUGUAUUUAGGUUCACCUCGAAAGUGUAACAAAGCCGCCCAUGAGGUGGCUUCUUAGGUUUUUAAAGUCUUUCAUUGGGAUGAUUGAGAGUCAAUUUUGUUGUAAAUGUUGAUGUUAAUAAGGCUCGUUUUAAAGUGUUUUAAGAAUGACAGAAAGUGUUUUUGAUGAUAAUAAUUUUAAAACAAAAAAGUACUUAACAUGCUUUUGGAACUCAAAAUCAAUUUCACCAAAGUAAUUGAGCUACAAGUCUCUUGCAUCGUGACUUCAAUAUUUUUUUGUUUUUUUGCAACUAUGAAUGACCAUUCGUGCGGGUUUGACAGCAUAUGUGGUGCGAGGUUUUACUAUUGUGGAGGUAGAGACAGAUGCAAAGGCAGUGACAUAUGUGGGGAGACUACGGAGAUGUUGGUAGAGGGAAUUGUUCGUGACAUUCGUGUGCUAGGUUUCUGUUUGUAGUCCAUUGUAUUUAGGUUCACCUCGAAAGUGUAACAAAGCCGCCCAUGAGGUGGCUUCUUAGGUUUUUAAAGUCUUUCAUUGGGAUGAUUGAGAGUCAAUUUUGUUGUAAAUGUUGAUGUUAAUUGUUGGAACAAAUAUGUUUUUAUUUAAAUAUUUAAAUAUAUUUAUGUUUUGUUUUACUACCAAUAUUAUAUACACAACAUUUUGCUUUAUUAUCAAUAUUAAAAGUCAAAUUAAUUUUGGCUUAAGGAGUUAUGC